CGUACCGUUUCAAGUUUUCUUGGUAAAGAUUAUGUUAAACCUGCACAGCCAGCUAAUGGCACUUUUCUGGCAUCAAAGCCAUUGAAGUUGGAUCCAAGGGAGUUUCGCAUUUCUGCACUUUCAGAGAAGAAACUAAACCGAAACAAUCAAAGGAUGACCAUUUGCAGAAGGAUAUGGAAGAUUUUCUGUUUAAAUUGCUAGGAGAAGGGUUCCAGCUGUACAGGGAUGUGAUUCAGAUGGUUCAUGGUAACGUCUUAAAUAUAUUGAUGCCAAUUUAAUACAUAUUGUCCUUUUCAAUGUUCUUUCUUUCUUUCUCCUCUUUUUAUUCUUCUUCUUCUUCUUUUUUCUUUUCAUGUGCAUCUGAUCACUAAUUUGGUAUUAUUCUUAACUUGCAGAUAGUUGUGGAUAUGAUAUGCAAAAAGGUAAGGACUAUAUCUUCUUGAUGGAGGCCUCUGAUUUUUUAAAUCGCAUUUUCCUUUGUGAUUGAUAUAUCAUACCAAAGUCAAGUCUUAAAUACUGCUGUCAUAUGUUAAGGUUCAACUUCCAUUUUGAUUAACGUCGAUUUGCUACUGCUUCCAAAAGUGAGAAUGAGAUACUUUGGUUAAUUUCAGUAGUUGAACCCAAUAGAGUACUUUAUUUAGAUCUUCAUGGUUCAAAGGCCUGAAAAAACUUGCCGGUGUUUGCAAAAUGACAUUCUGUGCUUUUAUUUAGACUUAUUAUUAAAGACAACAUUUUGUUUCAGCCAAAAAUGUUUGUUUCGAUUAAAGACUGAUUUUAUAUUUCUAUUUUGUAACUUGAAAUAAUUGGUCUGCCUGUUUCUGUUGCUUGAUAACAUGAAUUUUUCCUUCUGAAGUUAAUUUGAUCAAUAAAGUAAUUCUUCGGAGAGGAUAUGCCCAUUCUAUAGUCAUUUUCUUAGCUAACAUGUUUUUUCUUCACUCUUCAGAGCAUGUCUAAACUAAUUGAUCGCUCAGCGGAGACUUUGGGUGAGAAGACAAAAUUUCUUGGUAAAUCCUCUGAAAAGGUAUGCAUAAUUCCCGAGUAUUAAAUAAUCAUUGGUCAUAAUUUUUGUACACGACUCUUUUUUUGGAGAUCGUUAAAAGUGGUUGAUGAUCUAUUUUGUAAUAUCAUAGAGGGAUCAUGAAUUCCUUUUCUUUUCUGUGGCUAGGCAACACUUUCGAGCCAAGCUAAGGAAAUCUAUUUUAGGUAAUGUGAAAACCAGUUGUAGGAUGUAAUAGUUUAUUAUGCCCUGCCAAUAACUUUUUGUAUAAUUGUCAGUUUAAUGAAUACAAGAGGAACUCUGUUGGCAAGUUCAUCCAUGAUAGAUGCUAAAAUUAUUUAUGCAUACCAGUUGCCUUAACUAAUUUUUCUCAACACUGGUAUUGAACAGGAAAAUGAAUAUGCAAUUUGUAUAUUGUGCCAUUGUGGAGAAUUUGGAUAUUCUUAUUUAAGUAACAAGGAGAGUAUUUGCCUCAUCUUUAAACAAUGAAUCUUUGAGAAAUGAGGAGUGGGUGAUUGGCAGUGUCUUCAUGUAAAUGUUCAUUUAUUUGUAUUUUGAACUAUUAUGAGAAUCUUUGUAUGCCAAAUUAGUAAUACAAAUGUUCAGAUGAUUUUUCCUGUUGAUCAUGCGUGUGUAUCUGCACACAACCAUUGUGUACCACUUUAUUCUGAUGCGCAAAUAUCUGUAGUUUAGAAGAAAAGAAAUAAUAAUCAUAUAUUAUUGCUUGGUUCAUGAUUAUUAAACGAUUAUGGCUUUAGAAAAUCCACAAAUCCUUUGUGUUCAUAUAUGAAUGUGCGAAGUUCGCUAUAUCUUAGAUUACCUUCUUCCAAGAUAACAAGUUCAUAUAUUUUUUAAUCCUUUUUCAUCACAGUUGAAUUUCAAGUGUAAGUUUUGUUAUUAAUAGCUGGUUUCCUGUUAUUAUGAUUUCAUAAACAGUAAGAGGAUAUGUGCUCUACUUUUGGAGGGCCUCCACAUGAAAGAAAAUUGCAACAAUUGAAUUCUUCCGGAGGGUAUGGUAUUUAAUUUAUUUUCUCAGCUUGUUGUAAGACUAAUAUAUUUCCUUCAGUACGCACGGCAUGGUGGGAAGGGUUUUUAUUGAAACAGUUAUGAUAUUUCUUAGACUUUGUUUUGGAAGGGGGUGGAGGGAUUUCUCAUCCAUAUAUGGUUACUUGAUUAGCUUUUGACUGUAUUGUCUCCGUCGUGCAAAGGAAAAUCCAAAUACUAACGAAGGGGAAUUGCUUAGGCACCCAAAGGACAGAAAUGAAUUACGGAAGGAAGUUUUUGCUGCUUUAUUUAGUGCUGCUGAGAAAUCUGAUGGAUUUCCUGAAAUUACGGUGAAGACGGAGUGGAGGUCCAACGCAUUAGGAAAGGUGGUGAGUGAACCGCCGGAGGAAUUAGUACCAGAACACAAGGCUAAUGUGGUGCACUGGCAGCAAGAUGACCAGACCUGUAUGUGCUCUUAUAUUAACUAUAUUGGCUGGAUUUGUGAGUGUGUACAUUUUUGUGUGUAUACUCACUUUUGGAUUUAUGCAUAUUAACGUGUGUAGGAUUCUCGAUUUCUGCCACUUACUGGAGAACUAGUGGAAAGCUUUAUACUGAUAUAUGUGCUAUAUAACUAAUGGAAACUACAAUAUGAAUAUUUUCUCUCACCUGGAGAACAGUGUAACUGAUAUAAUUUGUGGCUCUGGAAUACUGAAGAUUCUGCAAUAACUAAUGGAAAAUAUGAUAUGAAUAUUUUUUCUCACCUGGAGAACUUUGUAACAGAUACAUUUUGUGCUGGAAUGUCUAAAGAAUGCUUCAGUUUAGAUCAAAUAUCUUUUAGUUAGAAAAGAUAAAAUUCUCUGAAUCUGAAAGACUGAAACAUUUUGCAUAUUUCGUGAAAGGCAAGUAUCUGUAGAUACUAGCUCAUGCAUUGAGGUAAUAUCAAUGUUAAAGAAAAACAGCAAUAAUUUAUUAUACAGAAUUAGGUUCACUUGCUUUAAAUGCUGGUCUGAUCAACCAUAUCAACCUGUAAUGGUCCUGCAGAAAUAUAUAUACGGGGAGAAACUAGCUAAUUUUCCUUUCACUUAUGGGUUUGGUCUUUUUUUUCCCCUAUUUUUCAGCUUUCCUUCUCCUGAAGUAUGUUAACAAUUGCAGAUAAUGACGAAGAGGACCGCUUCCAGGCUCUUUGUAGAGCUGUGAUGGAAUAUAGGGGCACAAUGAAAGAAUAUUGUAAGGCUGUAUGUACUUUCUCUCAUGUCAUUUAUGUUUUCUCACACAUUUUGUAUAUGCCCUGAACAUGCAGCUUUGUAUGUGUCAAUUGCCUUUUACGUUUUAAAAGCCAUAAAGUAAGAAUACAGUUCCUUGUCAGGCUAUUGAUGCGUUCGCUCAGAAGGGUCAUGUUCAAGCAGGAAAACUUCUAGAACAGGUAAGGUUUCCAUCUACAGCCAUCCAUUGACAGCAGAUAUAUUUUCAUUAAGCAGACACUGUUAGCAUUCAAGAUGCUGGCAGAUUCACUUGAUUCUUAUUAGUUUGUUUAGUGGCAAACCAUAUAACCUGUAUUUCAAAGCCAAGUUGUGCUAUUGAUUAUGUUAACUUUAUUGUUAACAUAAAGUGAUAUGGAGGACAUAAUCAAUGUAGGAAAAUUAGGUGAAGAGAUGAUGUCAAAUCUUGAACCUCUUACAAAGCUCCAAGUUCUUUACUUGAAGAAGCUGCCAAAUUUGAAGAGCGUCUACUGGAAGGCAUUUCCAUUCCCAGAUGUAUGCAGAAUUUUUGUAUUAAUGCCCAGUUCUUAAGAAGCUGCCACUGGAUUUUCAAGGGGCGGGCCAAGGUAAAAUUCUUAUCAAGGGAAAGGAAGAUUGGUGGAAAGAACUUCAAUGGGAGGAUCAAGCAACUCAGAAUGCAUUGCUUCCAUUUUUCAAAUCAACUGACAAGUGAUUGAAGGGGGCAUCAUCAACAUCAUCAACUGGGAUGGAGAGAUUAUGGAGCAGAUCAGCAGGGUUUGUAUAUGAUCUUUGGUGGUUGCUUUCUUUUGUGAUUUUUUUUUUCUCAUUUUUUUCCCUUCCUGUCAUUUUAUCAUUUCUUUGUCUCGUUUUCUAUUGCUGAUGUUAGUGUAUGCUUACUGUUGCUUGACAAAGUUUGCUUGCUUCUUGUUUAUUAAUUUUUUUAUGGUCACAAAAUAUUACUUGUUCUAUUUGAGAGUGAUGUGAAUCAAUUUUCAAUUAUAUAUUUUAUGGUCAAUGUGAAUUCAAUUUCAUUUGUCUCCUGCAAUUAUUUAAAAAAUGCAGAGUCAUAAUAUGGAAAAGUCGACCGGCAAAAACUUUGUGAAAGCUUCGGAGUGAAACAGGGAAUUCACUUACUAACAGGGAAUUCACUUACUACUAAGGACAAUUGGUGGCGAGCUAUUCCAUUCAUUUUAUGUCCAUACAUCUAUUUAAUUAUUAAAGAUAAGUGGUCCAUUUGUAAAUUUCAGAUUGUGUCUCUCUGAAAAUAACAAUAUUUAAAAUGUCUCUUAAAUUAUUAUAAAUUUUAAUUCACUCUCGAUUUAAAAUGGAACAUGCUGAUGAAAUUUUUUUUCUUCUUAAUAAAAUUGAAAUAAAUUGUGUUUGCAGUAGUUUGAAAUAUUUUAAAGAUUAUUAUUUUAUAAGGGAGUAAUAUGAAAUGAAAUUUACUUUUCAUGCGUGAAAUGUUGAAAAAGGACACAGCAAGUGUCCCUGCUUUUAUUUUAUUUCAAAGUGGAGUCAUCUCACAUACUUUAACUCUAUCGUUACAAUUUUUCAGGUUACAUUUUUAUUUAUUUAUUUAUUUUCUUUUUUACACAUGCAUGUGGGUUACUUUUCCGUAAGCUCCUUAAUAUAUAUAUUUAACACAAAUCAUGGAAGAGAUGGGAGUAUAUCAAGAUGAUCAAAGCAUGAAACAAAAAUAUUUAAGAAGUAAAACACUGAAAAUAGAGAAGAGAUGCAAGCAAAAGAUAUUCCAAAGAAAAGCAAUCUAUCUCCUUUCGAAGAAUGUUAUGGAAGAGUUGAACCCAGCGAAGAAUGUUAUGGAAGAGCAAAUUAAUGAUAUUUUUGAUAGAGUCUAUUUGAUUAUGUAGCCUGAAUAGAUGUCUUGUUGAAAGAUAUCUCAGUGCAUUAGUUCAUCCUUGACUGUCAAUGUGUUUUUAAUGGUUUUUCCAAAUUUUUAUUAUUAUAGAUUGAUUGUAAAUUUGAUAUGAAUUUAAUGUUGAAAUGUUUUCUCUUUAGUGGAAUGAAUUUAAAAGUGCAAAAGCUUAUUGCACACAGAGAAAUAAACAUAUAUGCUUUAUAACUUUAGCAAUCGAUUCUUUUACAGCUGGAAACAGAGAUGAUGAUUAUCAUAGGGGUGAAGAAAAGGACAAAAAAUGUUAAUGGUUAACGAAAUUUCUAUGCAAAUUGAUUUUAGCAGGAAAAAAGUGAGCUAAAUGAUCUUAAUGUUCCACAAGAAAAAGCAAGAUCUUAAUGUUCCACAAAAGCGUUAUUUAUUUUUUUUUGGUGAGCCACGUGGAGCUCAAUUAUCAUUGUCUUUACUUUAAAAACGUUAUUUUAUUUUCUUUUAUUACAAAUUAAUGCUAACAAGAAAAAGCAAGAUAUAAUAUUCCACAAAAGCAAAUCGUAAUAUUCCACAGAGGAGUAAGAUCCACAAAAGCAAACAACUAGCUGGAUUCUUUUAUUGAACUACAAAUUAAAACAACAAAUUAAAGUUCAAAUAUUUAAAUAGUAGUGCGUUAGACGAUUAGGCUCUUUUAUUAAAGGGAAGUAUAAAGUAGUCCAGAAUCGAACAUCUCUAUUGUCUAGUCUUUUUUUUUUUUUUUAAUUCUUCUUUUAUUAUUUUUCAGAAUAGGUUUUGGUGAUUACUAUUGGGUUAUUAUUGAGAGUUAUUGUUAUCUUCCGGGGCAGUUUCUGUUAAUCGAAAUCGUUAAUUAAAAUUUUAGAACUCUUAUUGGAAGAAUGUUUUUCCGUUAUUUUUUUAUAUUCUAAUUUCAAUUGUAAGAAGUAGUCAUUUUAGAAUUUGGGUCUUGAAUCGAAUUUCAAUGCAUGAAUUAAUAUUUAAAAAAAAAAUUACUACACGCAGUUUAGGUUACAAACUAUUUUUUGCAAAGUUGAUUAUGAAAUUGGAAAAAUUAAGUAAUUUAUAAUGUUUGCAAAGGAAGAGACUAACAUACUUCCAAUUACACUAUAUCUCUAUUAUCAUAAUGUUAAGAUUAAACUAACUUAAAAUAAAUUUUAUUUGAAAAGUUAUAUCAAACGCAGUCUAAUUUUAUUAACUUGAAGAGAUAAUAGUUAUAGAAAUUAUUGUUCUAACUUAAUUAGUACAAGUGGUAUAAAGGUUAAGUGUGCACUAAAUUUGUUUAAAUUUUUUCCAGAAUAACUAACAGAGGUCAUUACUAGAAUUAUAAUUACUAGUCUAUUAGAUAGAAAAAAUUAUUUAUAUUGUUUUAUAUUUAUUAAAAAAUUUUAAAGUCAAUCUUUUUAAUUAUUAUUUAAAGGAUAUUAUAAUUAAAAAAAAUUUAAUGUCUUUAUUAAAAAUUUAAAAAUUUAAAAAUUUAAAAAUUUACAUGACCGCUCUAUAAAUAUUGAAAGUGUAACUGUCAUUUUCUCAUAUAUAUAUAUAUAUAUAUAUAUAUAUAUAUAUAUAAACCACGGUGGUGAAGCUUUAUUUAAUAUUAAUGAUUUAAAUAACAAUAUCUCAAUUAAAAAUGUAGAGAGAAGAAAUUUCGGUGGGUAUAUUAGUCUUUUACAAUUAUCAUGAUUAACCCUUCCUCUUGUAACGUUGGUCAGAAAAGUUUUAAAAUGCCUUGAUUUCUUUUACUUUUAACGUUAGCGGCCUUCCUUAUAUUUUAUUACAAAUUAGUCCUAACAAGAAAAAGCGAGAUCAUAUUCCAAAAAAGCAAAAGUGACAAAAAAACCAGCUGUAUUCUUUUAUUAAACUACAAUUUAAAAUGAUUUUAAAGUGGAUUCUUUUGAAUACAGGUGGGGUAGUCGAAUAGUCUUUUUCAAAUUCUUGUUUUAUUAUUUUUCAAAACUAGUUUUUGGUAAUUACAAUCGGGUCAUUCAUUAGUCAUUAUUCAGAGUUAUUGUUAUCUUCGGGGGCAGUGGGUAAAAGGCUAAAUGAUAAUUACUAAGUGUUUUUCCUUCAAAAGUUAGUGGCUCGUGUUUUGCAAGUGUGUACGUGCGAUGCUCUUUGUCUAAAGGCAAUUACAGUGGGUCCCGAAUCGGACGUGCCUAAUAAAUCUUUUAAAAAUUUUUCUAAUAAAUAUUCCUAAAAUUUCUCUUCCACAGGCAAUUACAGCAGCUUCAGUUAAUCAAACUCAAUCAAUUUUCUUUCUUAACAAAAUUCCAAAGAUGUGUGGCUGUUUUCAGAUCACAUGCGAUGGUACUUUUUUCAAUCGUUGCUUAGAUUGCUUUCUUGGAAAAGCAGCAUACAUACGUAACCUCCAAGAUAACCUCGUUGCCUUGGAGACUGAACUAAGGAAACUAAUCGCAGCAAAGAACGAUGUGAUGACGGCGGUUGUCAAUGCUGAACGGCAACAAAUGAGAAGGCUGGAACGAGUGCAAGUGUGGGUUUCGAGUGUGGAUUCUGUUAAAACUGGAGCCGAUGAACUUAUCACAGACGGCUCUGAAGAAAUUGGCAAAUUAUGUGUUGGAGGCUACUGUUCCAAGAACUGCAGGUCAAGCUACAAGUUCGGAAAACAAGUGGCUGAAAAGCUACAACAUGUGAAGAAUUUAAUCGCCGAGGGAGUUUUUGAGGCGGUGGCCACUGAGGUGGUGCCCGAGAGAGCUCCGGAACCUGUAGCAGAUAAAAGACCCAUUGAGCCAACAAUAGUAGGCUUGCAAUCACAGCUUGAAGAAGUUUGGAGAUGUCUUGCAGAAGAAUCAGUGGGAAUCAUUGGCCUAUAUGGUAUGGGCGGUGUUGGUAAAACCACACUAUUGACCCAUAUCAACAAUAAAUUUCUUGAGAGUCCCACAAACUUUGAUUGUGUGAUUUGGGUCGUAGUUUCAAAAGACCUGCGACUUGAAAAAAUUCAAGAAGAUAUUGGGAAGAAGAUAGGUCUAUCUGAUGAUUCAUGGAAGAAUAAAAGUUUUGAAGAGAAAGCUGUGGACAUCUUGCGGAGAUUAGGAGAGAAGAGAUUUGUAUUGUUGUUAGAUGAUAUAUGGGACCGGGUUGAUUUAACAAAGGUGGGCGUUCCACUUCCCGGACCACAAAAUACUACCUCAAAAGUCGUAUUCACAACCCGUUCCAUCGAUGUUUGUGGCAGCAUGAGAGCUAGGCCGGUUAAAGUGGCAUGCCUAUCAGAAAAGCAAGCUUGGGAACUGUUCCACGAAAAUGUUGGGGAAGAAACUCUUGAGAGUGAUCAUGAGAUCGUUGAGCUAGCCCAAACAGUGGCCAAAGAGUGUGGUGGUUUGCCACUCGCACUUAUUACUAUUGGUCGAGCUAUGGCCUACAGAAAGAAAGCGGAGCAGUGGAGACGUGCAAUUGAAGAGUUAAGAAGAUCAGUUUCAGAGUUUGCAGGUUUGGGAAAAGAGGUGUAUCCUUUUUUAAAGUUCAGCUAUGAUAGUUUGCAGUAUGAUACGGUUAGAUCUUGUUUCUUGUAUUGUUGUUUAUAUCCUGAAGAUUAUGGCAUUCUUAAAUGGGACUUGAUUGAUUGUUGGUUUGGCGAGGGAUUUUUUGGGGAAUCUGACAGGUCUGGUGCAGAAAACCGAGGAUAUGGCAUUUUGGACACUCUUGUUCGUGCAUGUUUAUUAGAAGAGGUGGAAGAUGAUAAAGUAAAAAUGCAUGACGUUAUUCGUGAUAUGGCUAUAUGGAUAGCUUGUGAAAUUGAGAAGGAGAAGAGAAACUUUUUGGUUUGUGCAGGUGCUGGAUUAAAAGAGGCACCGGAUGUUAAAGGAUGGGAAAAUGUGAGAAGAUUGUCAUUGAUGCAAAACCAAAUUAAAACUCUGUCAGAGGUUCCUACAUGCCCUCAUCUCCAUACUCUAUUUCUUGACUUUAAUAAGGAGUUGGAGACGAUCGCGGAUGGCUUCUUCCAAUUUAUGCCUUCUCUCAAAGUUUUGAAGAUGUCAAACUGUGGGCAUGUCAAAGUUUUGAAAUUACCUAUUGGGAUGUCAGAGUUGGGUUCAUCACUAGAACUUCUUGAUAUUUCAAAUACCAACAUAACAGAGUUACCAGAAGAGUUGAAGUUGUUGGUAAAUCUGAAAUGUUUGAAUUUGAGGUGGACAAUUUGUUUAAAUAAAAUUCCAUGGCAACUAAUAUCAAAAUUUCAAGGUUACGUGUGUUGAGAAUGUUCGCUACUGGCUUUGCACGUUUUGAUGCAGCAUCAGAAGACAGCGUUUUAUUUGGUGGGGGUGAAGUUUUAGUACAGGAAUUGGUCGGUCUGAAAUAUUUAGAGGUAUUGGAGUUGACCUUGGGAUGUCAUCAUGCUCUCCAAAUUUUUUUGAGCUCAAAUAAGUUAAAAAGUUGUAUUCGAUCUCUUCUCCUCCAAUUGGCCGGAGAUACAAAGUCGAUUAUUGAUGCUACGGCUUUCGCAGAUCUAAACCACCUCAAUGAAUUAUGGAUUGAUAGGGCUAAGGAGUUGGAAGAAUUGAAGAUUGAUUGUAAAGAAAUAGUACAAAAAAGGCGGGAACCUUUUGUUUUCCGCAGCCUUCACCGUGUUACUAUACAUAGCUGCCAGAAGUUGAAAGAUUUGACAUUCCUCGUUUUUGCUCCAGACCUCAAGUCUCUCGAUCUAGACCGUUGCGAUGCUAUGGAAGAAAUAAUCAGCGUCGGAAAAUUUGCUGAGACUCCUGAGAUGAUGGGACAUAUAAGCCCUUUCGAAAAUCUCCAAACUCUUCAUUUAAGAGCGUUUAACAUCUUUUCUCGACGACCUGCACGAUUGCCUUUCACUCAUCUGAAGGAAAUGGAGGUAAGUGGGUGCGAUCAGCUUAAAAAGCUUCCACUCGAUUCCAACAGUGCAAAAGAGCGUAAAUUUGUUAUUCGUGGAAAAGAAGACUGGUGGAACCGACUUCAAUGGGAGGAUGAAGCCACUCAAAUUGCUUUUCGUUCCUGUUUCCAACCUGAGCGGUUAGUCGCAAAAUUUGAUUUCUGGUGAUUGCGUUUGUCUUUUAACUCUUAUAUAUAUUCUUGUCGUUUGUUUUCUUCUCUGUUUUUAACUCUUAUAUUGCGUUUGUCUUUUGAAAAUCUCCAAUUAAAUGUUGAAUUAAUGGAAUUAAUGCUUCAUAAAUUUGCCGGCACUGCCAUCACUUUUUUUUUUUUUAAUACAAAUUGAUACUUUAUUUAUAUCUUCUUAGCGAUAUAAUUUCCUGUCAAUUGACGAACGAGAAGAACAUACGACUUAAACCAAUUCACGCAUAAACUUGCUGUAAAAAGAUAUAAUCUCACUGAAAUGCACACGUCUAGAAUGAAUAGAAUUAAAACAGGGAAAAUAUUUAAGUAUAUUAGCCCUCUUUACCGAAAAUGAAAUGACAAUAAAUUUUUUGAAAGUUUUGAUUUUCUAUGGUCAAUUCCACCUUUUGCAAUUUCUUCUGUUCUAACAAAAACCAAUUUCUUUGUUCAAGUAUUUUCGUUUGGGUAUUAAUAAUUCUCCACCGAAAGAGUGAACUCUUGCUCAAGGGAUCUCUAAUCAAUAGCCGGAAGGGCGCCGAGACCUGAUCGGACCUAGGCCCAAGUUUGGUCUUAAAGCCUGGGCUUGAGCCUGGCAAUUAAAUUAAAACAUUAAUUGAUUUCUUGAUUGAAUUGUCGUGUAAUUGAUUUAUGGGGGAUGACACAUCAACAUGCUUGAAAACACACUAAUCUCAGCAUCAUCGGUUAAUAACUUUUAGAAUUAUGGGUAAUCAAUAGUUAAGAUUAGUUGUCAUUAAUACUAAAUAUUUUUUUACUAUUUUCGUCUCUUCUAGAGGAUCUUCUAGAAAAAUGCAUCCACAACAAAAUUUAAUACUUUACAUAAUAAACAAAGCAUAAAUGUUAAAUUUAAGAAACUGCAUUGUAUUUCAGCUGAAGUUGACUUUAAUAUUUAGGGUAGAAAAAUAAUAAAUCCUUAAUGUGUUUAAUUUCUAUCACUUGUGUCAUUAAAAUUUUCUAGUCACCCUAACCAAUUACAUCUCAACCCACUUUUUUUUGGAUGAUUUUAUUUUUACACUAUUAUUUUCAUCAUUUUUUUUCCUUUUAACACCAACAUUAGUGUAUGUUACGUAACAUAAUUCAUAUUUGGAUAAUUUGAAAUUUGUUUGUGUUUUAUCUCAAAAUAGAGCUUCAAUCAAUUUGUACCUCAUAAAUUCACAAUAUCUAUGAGGGCUAAUAAGACCAAACUCUGGCAUAUUGUCAAAUGUGCUUAUCCUUUUGCUUGACAUGUCAUUUUAAAAUUGUCAUUCAAUGCCAAAAAAUCACAUCAACUGAUGGCCGACUACUUUAAUUUGAAAGCAUGCAUGCGAUCGCCAAUAAUUAUAACUUAAUUGUUAUUUUGAAAUUUUUUUCUUUAUAAUUUUUAAGUUUAAUACUACUACAUGUGCAGCACAUAAGUUGGAAAAUAUAACAUAAAAUUUGAAAAAUGUGUAGCUUUCGUUCCUUUUUUUUCUUAAAAAUGAGGAAAAAGAAUGUAAUUUUGUUUAAAUUACUGUUGUGAUAACAAUUAUUAUUUUAUUGAUUAAUUGGCAGAGAAUGGUUAUGGUUUCGCAUGGUUGUUAAAACAUUGGAAAAUCCACUACAUCAUCCGUUAAUAACUUUCAGAUUUAUGGUUAAUCAAUAGUUGAGAUUUGUUAUCAUUAAUGUUAAAUAUUUUUUUAAUAUUUUUUCUCUCUCCUAGAGGAUCAUCACAGCAAAAAUUUAAUAUUAUAAAUAGUAAACAAAAUAUAAACAGUUAAAUCUAAGAAACUGCAUUGCAUUUCAGCUGAAGCUAACUUUAAUAUUUAAUGGAGAAAAAUAAUUAAGUCCUUAAUGUACUUUAUUUACCCAUACUGAUACGCUCUUAAUUCGUGAAACUGAGCAACAUCAAAAUUAUCACUACUUCGAGCGAGUGUUUGCUCCAGAAGAAAGAACUGGAAGUUGAGAAAUGAGAAAGAAGAAAAGAAGAAGAGUCACAGCGAGGAAUAAAAGUGGUCCAUUCAUUUCAUGCCUUCCCAAAAUGACAAAAUCCCGCAAUAUAUAACAGACAAUCGAAAAUAACCAAUUUGACAACGCAACAGAAAAUGACAAAAAAGAAUCCAAAACAAACGUAGCCAAUCACAAUGCUUUUACAGAUCAUCCUAAACGACGUAGUCUCGUAGCCAAUCUAGAAGUUUCUUGUUUCGUUUGGGCCGUUGAUUCUCUUGCACUGGCUCAUGGUGAAUGUCCUCUUUGGGUUGACUGACUGUGGGUUCUCGGUUGAGCUCUUCCACUUGCGCCCCCUCUAAUGGCUCUAAUUUGAUAUAUAAAUUCGUAUCAUUCCCUCCUGCUUGAAAACACACAUUGUCCUCAAGGUGAAAUGCUGGAUAGAGCUUACAAAAGGCGUCAAAGUUUUCCCAAGACGAAUUCUUCGGUGAACUGACGGUCCAUUGAACUAACACUUGAAGCGUUGGCUUCCCCUGUUGCAAAACUAUUCGGGUUGCACAAAUGGCAGCCGGUAGCAAAAGAGGAUGGUUAUCCACACUCAACUCUGGUAAAGGAUGUGAAAUAGCAGGGUCGUUGCCAUGAUAAUGCUUAAGGACAGAGAUGUGAAAAACCGAGUGGAUUUUGGAAGUAUUGGGUAACUCCAAUUUGUAAGCUACAUACCCCACUCUAGCAAGUACCGUAAAUGGCCCGUAGUAUCACUUGGCCAACUUCUGACAGGCGCGAGAAGCUAUAGUGGUCUGUCGAUAUGGCUGUAAUUUAACCAGCACUUUAUCCCCUACUUCAAAGUGAGCUUCACGGCGAUGGGCAUUAGCUUUCUGAGCCAUUCGAUGUUGUGCUUGCCUCAAAUUAGCUUUUAAAGAUUGGAGAAGAGUAUUACGUUCAAGGAGAAUGUCCUCCAAAGUUUGGAUUGAAGUAGAGCCCUUAGCAUAAUGAGGAAUAGUUGGAGGCAAUCGGCCAAAUAAAGCUUGAUAGGGAGACAUCUUCAAGCCACUGUGGAAAUGAGAAUUAUAACUAAAUUCUGCCCAACUCAGUAAGGAAACCCACUUCCGUGGUUUGUCUUGAGUGAAAGCUCGUAAAUAUUGCUCCAAUCCUCAAUUUACCACUUCCGUUUGACCAUCCGUUUGAGGGUGGUAUGCCGUGCUAUGACGAAGAGUUGUGCCACUUAAGAGGAAUAAUUGUUUUCAAAAAUUGCUCAAGAACACUGGGUCUCGAUCGGAGAUAAUUGAACUUGGAAAACCAUGUAUUUUAAUGACCAUGUCCACAAAGAGUUCAGCUGUCUUGAGGGCAGUAAAUUGACAGGGUAACGGACCAAAAUGGGCAAAUUUUGUAAGACGAUUGACAACAACCAAUAUGACCGAGAAACCUUGUGCUAACGAAAGACCUAUAACGAAAUCCAUUGUGACCUCAUCCCAAACCAUAUUAGGUAUCGGCAAUGGUUGAAGAAGACCAGCAGGGGCUUGAGUGGAAUACUUAGUUUGCUGGCAUAUUAAACACUCUCGGAUAAACGUUUCCACAUCAUGACGCAUCUUGGGCCAAUAGAAUGUUGAAGAUAAUCUGAUUAAGGUUCUAGUGACACCCACAUGACCUGCCAGUGGUGUAGAGUGAAAUUCUUGCAAUAGUACGACUUUUAAAGAGGAGGUAGGACUGAUGUAAUAACGCUGACGGUGGAGAAGAAAUCCGUUUUGAACAGAGAAGUCAACUGACAGUUUGCCUUGUAAAAGUUGCUGGUGAAGUGAUAUUAAAUCAGGUAAUGUGGUAUUCUCAUUAAGUAAUGACUGCAGCAAUUCAAAUGAAGGAUGGCUGUUGAAAGAAAGGCAAGUGGGGGAGAUGUUGAUGUUAUCCUCAGGAGCUGUUUCAUGGACACGGGAUAGAGCAUCAGCGGCGCUAUUGGUACAACAUGGUCUGUACUCAAUUCUGAAUUGGAAACCCAAUAAUUUGCGGAGAUAAACUUGCUGAUCUAGUGUUUGUAUCACUUGUUGAAGGAGUUCUUUGAUACUCUUAUGAUCCGUGCGGAUAACAAAGAAUCGGCCCAACAAAUACUGCCGCCACUUAUACACAGCUUCUACAAUUGCAUGCAACUCCUUGAUGUAAGUGGAAGAAGCCCGCAAUUUGGGACCCAACUUCUUGCUGAAAUAAGCAAUUAAAUGCCCAUGUUGUGUAAGUACAGCUCCUAUGCCUACAUUAGAAGCAUCGGUCUCAAUGACGAAUUCGAAAGUAAAAUUCGGCAACUUAAGGACUGGAGCUUGCACCAUUGCUUGUUUAAGAGCUUCAAAGGCCUCCAUGGCUGUCAAAUUCCAUUGAAAGGCAUCAUUUCGCAGCAAAUCAGUGAGUGGGGCUGCCAAGGAAGCAUAACCACGGAUGAAGCGCCUAUAAUAUCCAGUGAGACCAAGAAAACCCCUCAACUGUUUGAUAGAACGUGGAAUUGGCCAAUUAAGCAUGGCAUCAAUCUUUUGGGGGUCGGCUUGUACUCCCGAGGCUGAAACAAUACGGCUUAGAUACUCAAUAGCGGCUUGGCAAAACAAACAUUUGGAUAAUUUAAUAAAAAAUUGAUGAAGAUGUAAACAAGCUAAUACUUUCUCAAGAUGAAGCAAAUGCUCGGCCAUGGAGGAGCUAUAAACCAAGAUAUCAUAAAAAAAAACGAUCACAAAUUUCCGGAGAUGAGCUGCAAAAAUCUGAUUCAUUGUGGCUUGAAAAGUGGAUGGGGCAUUUGUCAACCCAAACGGCAUGACAAGAAACUCAUAAUGGCCCUCAUGUGUUCAAAAUGUCGUUUUGUAUAUGUCGCGGUUGUGGACACGAAUUUGAUGGUAUCCCGCGCGCAAAUCCAAUUUGCUAAAAAUGGUGGCGCCCCCAAGUUCAUCAAACAACUCAUCGAUUGUCGGUAUAGGAAAUUUGUCUUUGAUGGUUACGGCAUUUAAUGCACGAUAGUCAACACAAAACCGAUAGGUGCCAUCUUUUUUCUUGACCAAGAGAACCGGGGAGGAAAAAGGGCUUUAGUUCGGUCGGAUUAUGCCCUACUCUGACAUUUCCCUGAUCAGUUUUUCCAUUUCAGAUUUCUGGAAGUGUGGGUAGCGGUAUGGACGAACAUUGACGGGGGCUGUGUUGGGUAAUAAAUGGAUUUUGUGGUCAAUAGUUCUGUGCGGUGGUAGGCUAGAAGGUUGGAGAAAUAGGUGUUUGUAUUGCUGUAAAAGGUUGAGAAAUUGAGCAGGAAGGGAAAAAGGAAAUUCAAGUGAGGAAGUGUCUGUGAUGGAAAAUGAAGGCAAAGCAUCGAUAGCGGGCACUGGUUGUAAGGCACAAAGGCUGGUCACGGUAUCACUUUGAACCAAUACCUGCAAUUGAUUAUAAGUGAUCAAAUUAUUAGAAGACAAAUCACCAUGAAGCAUCACUGGUUGCUCAUUUAAAGAAAACUCCAUAGGACACUUUGCCCAAUUUCUGUAGCCAUUGAAUGCCAAGGACCACAUAUGUGCCCUCAAUUGGCAAAAUGAAGAGGUCUACCAUAAAAGCCGUGCCUUGCAUUGUUAAGUUCACUUGAGGACAGAACUGUUUACACACCAGGAAGUCACCGUUGCCAAUAUACACUCGGAAAUUGGUAGUUGGAUGAAUGGCUAACCCCAAUCGUUCCGCUAACGCCGGUUUUAUGAAAUUGUGAGUGUUGCCACUAUCAAUCAGCACUUGAAAGGUGUGCGAAUCAAUUUCUCCAAUUAAACGAAGAGAGCGAGGAUUGGCCUGCCCUGCUAGAGCAUUUAAGCUAGAGAUGUCACCAGUAAUACCAGCAUCUACCAAUUCUGAUGGUUCCUCGUUAUUUUUGGGUUCCAAUUCUUCAUCAUCCGUGCCCAUGAGAAGUAGAAAUUUACUGCGACAGAGAUGAUUGUUGCUGUAUUUUUUGUCACAAUUGUAACAUAAACCCUUCUCGCGUUUGUCGCAAAGUUCAGCCGAAGACAAACGGCGAAUUGGUAAUGUUGGUGUCGAUAAUAAUGCAGGUAAAGUGUUUGAUUUAUUGGUAUUGUGGGUUUGUGAGGGAAGAGUUGAAGAUGAUACGGGGGUGAUGGCUGUGGUAACAGUUGCAAGUGAUGAGGAUGGAUAAAUGGGUUUGGGUUGUGUUUGGAAACCAUGUGAAAGGGGAUAUGGUUGCUGCCAUUUAGGCCAUGAGCGUGAGCUCUGUUUCACUUCGUCAUAUUUGGCCUCAAAAGCACGAGCUAAAGUUUCCAUUAGUGAAGACGGUCUAGAGAAAAGCAAUUCCCGUCGAAUGUUGGGUUUCAGACCAGUGAUGAAAAAACUAAUCAAAAGAAGUUCAGAAAUUCCAGUGACCUUGUUCAUUAAAUCUUCAAAAGCUGACUGGAAAUCUGCAACCGUGGUAGUUUGACUCAAUUUGGACAAAUCACCUUGGGGAUCUUCACACAAAGAAGCACCAAAACGAUAGCGCAAGUUAGCUAAAAAUUCUUGCCAAGUAGUGAGCAAGUGAUUGUUCUUUAUCCAUUGAUACCACGCUGCAGCGCGACCCUCCAUAUGAAAAGAGACAAUCCGUAGUCGGAGGAUCUCAGGUGUGUCAUGAAAGUCAAAAAAUUCUUCUAUUCGAAAAAUCCAUCCAUUUGGGUCAGACCCAUCGAAUUUGGGCACAUCCAUUUUCAUGGAACAAAGUACUGGAGAAACUUUAGAACCAGUAAGAACGCCAUCAUAUUUAGAAGAUGAAGGGUGUGAAGGGUUGGAGGAACCAACUGGUUUGUUGGAAGACCCAUGAAUUUAUGUACGUAACUCCUCAAAACGAGAGUCAACUGAUGUCAUGAAUUGUUGGAUUGUUUGAUGGAUGGACAGUUGCUACCCAUCAAGUUUGGCGUCAAAAGUUGCUUGAAGGGUCUGUAAAGCAUAAAGAAUUUCAGAAUUUGCCAUGAUCAAUGAAAGCACCAGUGAUACGCUCUUAAUUCGUGAAACUGAGCAAUAUCAAAAUUAUCACUACUUCGAGCGAGUGUUUGCUCCAGAGGAAAGAACUGGAAGUUGAGAAAUGAAAAAGAAGAAAAGAAGAAGAGUCACAGAGAGGAAGAAAAGUGGUCCAUUCAUUUCUUGCCUUCCCAAAAUGACAAAAUCCCGCAAUAUAUAACAGACAAUAAAAAAUAACCAAUUUGACAACGCAACAGAAAAUGACAAAAAAGAAUCCAAAACAAACGCAGCCAAUCACAAUGCUUUUACAGAUCAUCCUAAACGACGUAGUCUCGUAGCCAGUCUGGAAGUUUCUUGUUUCGUUUGGGCCGUUGAUUCUCUUGCACUGGCUCAUGGUGAAUGUCCUCCUUGGGUUGACUGACUGUGGGUUCUUGGUUGAGCUCUUCCACUUGCGCCCCCUCUGAUGGCUCUAAUUUGAUAUAUAAAUUCGUAUCACAUACAUGCGGUUAAUUUUUUAAGAUAAAGGGGAAGGAUGAUGCUCAAAAAUAUAAAUUAUAGAAUUAAUUGAACUCUCAAAUAAGUUUAAAGUUCAUUAUUUUUAAUUACAUGUUUAUAAUUUAUUUUUAUUUCGUAUUAAUCUAUAGAUCUAAAUCCACUUUGGAUUCAUAUACACAUAUAGACAUAAUGUGUAUGUUAAUCUAUAGGUCUAAAUUCACUUUAGGUCUAUAUAGGUAUUUUGACAAAUGUACUCCAAUCAUGCAUAUUGGCAAGUUCAAAUUCAAUUUGGAAUAUGGUCAUGGUACGUUCUUGUUCUUCCCUCUUUACGAGUGCAUUCCCCCCAACCUCAAGCUCCCUCUCUCGUCUUCAAUGUCACUGCUUAUAUCCUUAUGUUGUUCUAGUUUGAAACAGUGGCUUCCACUAUUUCAGGGCCCCCAAAAAUCCAGAAACAUACUAUUCAUCACGAUGACAAAAUUUUGGGCAGGCAGGUGCUUCCUGACUUUCACACGGUAAUUCUCAAAUUCUGAUUUCACCAUAUUUUAAUUACUGAUUAUGCUCUCCAUUAUAAUAGAAGUCGCCGCCACACUAGUGAUUCCAAACUUUAUCUUUUUUCCUUUUUUAAAUUAAUGCAAGUAGCCGCUGUCCUUUUUAUUAAUUAAUUAAUUCGGCCGCCCACAUUUCUUUUUCUAAUGUCUUCUACUGUCGAGUUUAUUUUAUUUUCCCUUUAUUCUUAAAAUAUACUUAUAAUAAUAAAAUAUAAAAAUAAAAAUAAAAAUUAACAUAUCAAAAUAUAAUUUAACAGAAAAUUAAGAUGAAAAAUAAAAAAAAAUAAAUUCUGAACAUAUCAAUCAAUAAAUGAAAAAUAAUAAUUUUUAUUUUUAUUAAAUAUAUUUUUUUCAGUAUUAAUCAAUUAUCUGAAUAACUAAAAUCAUUUAAAAAUAAAUAAACAAAUUAUUCUUUAUAAAAAAAAAAAACUUUUUAUAACACUCACUAUGCUGGUUGUAGGGUAGACGCUUUGGGGACUGAAGUUGGUAACUUCUACAAGUAGUCUUAAGUUGAUAACUUCUACAAGUAGUCUUAAGUUGACUGGCAAAUGUUCUCAGUAUUAUAUUGGUGUGUCGAUAUUAUCUCUAACUGCCUUAUAGAUAAAAAAAUAAUCUAAAUUUAAAAUUUAACAUAAAAUAAAAUAAUUGGUAGAAAAACAAUUAUGGUUCAUUUACUUAUCAGUAAUCAGAAUAGACUGAAAUCGAAAUGAGUUGUAUUACCGUUGAUGUGUUUAUGUUGUCCUCGAAUCGGAAUGAAUUAUUUUAAGUUACUAAAAUAUCCUUGGUUUGUUAUUCUAAUUAUUAUUAUUUAAUAUUUAUUAUAAUAUUUGUCAUAUCAUUAAAAAGAAAUAAUAAUGAUGAUAAUAUUAUCAUUAUUGUUUGUUACAUUAUUAUUAUUCAAAAAAAUUAUUGUUAAUAACAAUAAUUACUUUAUUUCAAUACUAAUAAUGAUAAAAUUAAUAAUAACAAACAACAAUAAUUAUUUAUUAUGCCAAAAAUAACAAUAAUAAUAAUCAUCAUCAUUUUUUUUCCCAAAGAAGCAUUAUCAUCAUUUCAAAAAAAAUAUCAUCAUUAUCAUCAUCAUUUUUGUAGUGGCUGCCUAUCGGCUGUUGCUUUCAUGUGAGAUUGACUUGCGACGCUUCAACGGCUAUUAUUUCUGGCAAUGUCAGGUGUUACUGUUUCAAUUUAGGAAGAAGCUGUUUCGUUGUGCUAACGAUGGGAGAUGUUGUGGCUGCGAUUCGGGGAGCUACUAGUUUAUUGCACUAAUGACGGCAGGUGCUGCUGCUUGAUGCGAGGUCCAUGGCCAGUUGUCAGCAGUUCGACUUUGGUAUGGGUGCUGCUGGUUCGAUUUUAGGUGUUGUCCAAUUUCAUUUUCAGGAUUUUAAUUUUAUUUUUCUUUUAUAUUUUCAUUAAUUAAUCAGGACAAAGUUGGAUUUUAGAAUUUGGAAUGAAGGUAAUUUUGUUAAUCAUGGAAAUGAGAUUCUGAUUGUCGAGAAUGAGCUUACACAAACAACUACAAAUUAAGUGAAAACAAAACGCUUUUUCUCUUUGUGUGAUUAAAACAUGAUAUGUACCAUAAAUAAAUAGGUAAAAAAUAAAUUAAUACAAUCCAAAACAGUAAACUAAUUACAAGAGGCACAAAUUUUUAUGUGAAAUACCAAAAAUAGAAAAAACCACAGCAUCUUAGUAUGAGAUAAUCUUCUACUAUAUUAAUGAGAUUAUAGCACAAAUUCUUCCUUAUAUAACACUAGAGGUUAACAACAUCAAGAAUUUCAAUAAUCUUGACUUACAAUACAGCCUAAUAUUUGUCUCUCUAAUAAGUAGAUAUCUAAAAUAACAGUCUCUAAUAAAUAAGUAUCUCAAAUAACAGUCUCUAAUAAGUAUCUCAAAUAAUAAUUUCUAAUAAGUAUGUAUCUCAAAUAAUAGUUAACAAGAGGAUAAAACAAAAAUUAAGAUUAGUAGGAUUGUAUAAGGCGAUGCUAUCAACUUAUCUUCUAAAUUUGAGAAAAAUAGUUAAAUUCACUUUUUCGAUUGUGACCAAAGAUGGAAACCUUUGCCCCAAAACCAAAGGAAUCACCAUUUCUCUCUCUCUCUCUCUCUCUCUCUCUCUCUCUCUCUCUCUCUCUAUCUCUCUCUCUCUCUCUCUCUUCUUCUACUUUUCUUAAUGUUAGCCGCCACUCGCUUUUAUUCUUUAUAGCAUUUAAAAAGCUACUUUUAAUGGUAAAUUUCAUUUAAGUCCAAAACUUAGUGAUAAUUGUACACCAAACAAUUCUUUUUGGACUAUGAGCUUUUGGGCCUCCAAAUGAGAUGAAUACAACAAAUCUCCCCCUUUAGAUCAUGUGGGGGGCACCACAAGCCUGCUCUCUGCAUAUAGUUUUUCAACUUCUCCUUGAAUAAUGACUUUGUCAUCAUACAUAACCCAUUCUCUGUUGUGUAAAUUUUCUCAAGCUGUAGCUGUUGCUUCUCAAGCACGUCUCGUAUCUAAUGAUAUCUCACAUCAAUAUGCUUAGAUUUCGAAUGGUUUAUCAAAUUCUUUGAACGGCACUCUGACUGUCGCAGUACAUAACAUAGCUGUCUCGUUUUACACCCAGCUCUUAUAGGAAAUUCAUUAUCCAUAAUAUUUUUUUGCAACCUUCAAUAAUUGUUAUAUCAUUUGCUUUAGUGGUAGAAAACGUAACUUAUUACUAAAGUUUAGAUUGCAAUGAGACUUCUCCCCCUGCAAAAGUGAGCAAACAUCCUAGAAGGAAUUUUUCGGAAUCAACAUCUUCUGCCAUAUCUACACACUUGUAACACAGGUUUGUCACCACUAAAAUAUAAACAUGCUCUGGAAAUGCCUCUAAGAUAUCUGAGAAUUUUUCAUUGUUGUCCAAUGCUCUUUUAUAAUAAAUACAAACAUAAUGAAUUUAUAAAACAUUUAGAGUAUUUUGAAUAUUAUAUAAAAUAAUUUUAAUAUAAUGCAUGAGAUAUAUUUUAUUAAUUUAAAAUGCUAUUUAAUCUAAAGAUUUAUUUAAGAUAAAUUAAUAAUUAAAUUUUUUUAAUUAUUUCAAAUAUUAAAAAUUUGUAAUAUUAUUAGUCUAUUAGAUAGAUUAAAUUAUUUAUUUUAUUUUGUAUUUAUUAAAAAAUUUUAAAGUCAAUAUUUUUAAUUACUAUUCGAAGGAUAUAAUGAUUAAAAAAAUCUUAAUAUUUUUUAUUAAAAAUUUAAAAAUUUACAUGACCAUUUCUAUAAAUAUUUAGGGUAUAUAUGAGCCACGGUGGAGAAGAUUUAUUUAAUAUUAUUGAUUUAAAUAAUAUCUAAUUAAAAAUAUACUGAGAAAAAAUUUCGGUGGGUAUUUUAGUCUUUUCAGCAAUCACAUGAUUAGCCUUUGGGCUUUGGCCUUGAAACGUCGGUCAGAAAAGUUUUAAACUGCUUAAUUGUUUUUCACUUUUAACGUUAGUGGCUGCUUAUAUUUUAGGAAAAUGAGAUUCUCACCACAGUGAGAACCACACUGAGCACAGAACGGUGCGUUUUGUGCUCAGUAUAAAUUCUAACUGUAGCGGAAAUAUCGCAACACAAACGCGCCAUUCCAAACCCACGCGCGUUCUCCCUCACGCCAGCAAAUCUCACCACGCUUCCUCCUCACUGUAAGCGCCCCCCCUCCCCGGGGGCGGUCGGCUGCGUCACGCUCCCUCACGGCGCCUCACUCUCUCGGCUCUCUUAGAAAAUUGAAUUGCGGCUUCCGCCGUGGGGUUCUCUCCUCAACUGCCGUUGUCUCGUCUCUGACAGCUGCCUUAAUCAAAUUCUGAAGGUAGUUUGCUUCAAUUCAUUACAUUAAUUUCAAAUUUGGUUUGUGUGGGAUUAUGAGUUUGUGAAGAUUUAGUUCUGUUUCAUGGUAAACUAUUUUUUGCUCAGUGUGUUGAGAAUAUCAGCACGGUUUAAAAUUCUUUUUAGAUUCUGUCGUAAAGUUUUCUUUGUAUUGGGCAAGUCAGUUACUUUAGUUUUGUGUCUGAAAACAAAAACACUUAGCUUAGUGAGUUUUAAGAGAUUUUGCUAUUUUGUUCAACGAAGCUUAAAAAGGGGAAGCUUUUAUGGCGUCUGUGAGCCGAGGCAAUUUGGAUCGGGUGCUUUUUCAGUUCAUUUGUUUGUUUCUUAUUUGGGUUCUUUAUUGUUAGAUGUUCUUUUGAGAUUCUGGCAUCUGGCAUCUGGCUACUUGCUUUUGUGGAGUUUUUUUAUUAUUUGAAUUCUGUGAAUUCUUUGUUUUCUUUCCCAAAUGAUUCCACUCUAUAAAAUAUAUAUUGUGCUUGGCUAGAAUUUUCUUUUAGAUAAUUGCAUCCUGUACAUUGGCUUAACCUGUCAAGAAUGAGAAUGAUGGAAGAUGCCUAUCUUGGAAAGAAUAUAUUGAGUUACAUAGUACCGGUUCCAAAUGAAUAAAUUGGAACUUGCCUAAAACAGGCACCAAUCCACCAUGACACCAAGCCUUUUUAAAAUUUUUUUUUUUUUAAGUUUAAAGAAACUUAUGUUGCUUCUUUAGAUCUGUUUUAGCUUAUGAUGAAUUUUGCUAAUGGUAAAAUCCCUCCCCUUCAAAGUUGGGGGAGGGGAAGCAUCUAUAUGCAUAUGUGUACAUUAUGGAGCUCGAACUACAUGUCGCAGUAAUACAUUAUUCUCUUUGCUUUGCAGGUUUUGAUCAACAUGAGUGAUUGGGAUGUAGGUCUGUGCUUGAGAGGCCGGAGUGAUGACCAGAAUUCUGUCAACCAGACCAAAGACAAUCAACUGAUGAAGUGUUGUUGUUCUCUAUAUUGAUUGUUGGAAAUUAUGUGUUAUUUCCAGAUUUUUAGAAAAUUAUGAUUGCUGGAAAUAAUUAUAUAUGUACAAUCAUUAUGUCCUCCAGCACAAGUGAAUUUCCAAACCCACAACUGAAAGCUUGCGAAAAAUUUGUAGAAAAUUUGUACAUCAAAUCCACAAGCUAAGUGUUGUAUCAGAAUAUGAAUGACAAUAAAACAAAAAUCUGUGUUCUUCAUUCUUAAAAUACUAAUACAAUACAAGUACAUUCUUAUUCUGAGAAAUAACUACCUAUUAACUCCAUAUUCAUUAUCUUGUUGAAAGAGUAGCUGCUGAAAAUGUCCAUGUCGCUGAGCUUGUAUGUGCUAUUAAAAAAAAAUUAAACAUCUUGUUGUCAUCCGAAAAAAUAAAGAAGGCAAGAUGAACAAAUAAAAAACUUAUCACUACUUACGGUGCAAGAAUUUUAUGUAGAUAUUGAAUAAACAUUAUCCUCAAUUAUUUGUCACAAUAAUUUAUAUUCAAUUCAUGGUGUGUUGCAGCAAGCUUCCAUUGUUUAACUAAAUGACAGCUGAAUCUUUACAACUAAUUAUCUUUACAAUCAAAUUUGGAAUUAAUUAAGCAAAUUACCGCUAGAAAUCGACGAGUGAAGCUAAGAGAGUGAGGCUGCAAGUCGAAUUUUUGAGACAGCCGAGAGAGUGAGGCGCUGUGAGAGAUGCAAUGGACGGGCGAGAGAGAGACGAAGCCGAUGGUGAUUGCUGCAUUGGUAGGAUUGAGGGAGAGAGCGAAAGAGCCAGAGCGUGCGUGCUUGUUCUGCCAGAGAGCGCGUAUGUUUUUUCUCAAUGCGCGUGUUGCGUAAUUAUCCAUCUACAGUGACCAUUUUAUAGUUAUCUUGAAACGCACCGUUCGGUGCUAUAUGUGGGGCUGAAUGUUGUGAGCAUAUCGGUGCUGUAUAUUUUAUUAAAAAUUAAUGCUAACAAGAAAAAACCCCUCAAUGAAUGAGGGUGAGAUUGCUAAAAAUUACGACAGGUGAUAUUUUAUUAUUAUUAUUAUUAUUGGGGGAGAAAUCCUCACCAAAGUGAGGAGAUUUUAUCAAAAUCAAAAUAAAAAUAUAACAAGAACUGAAAGUUGGGCAGCCUAAAAGCUAGAUAAACUAAAAUUCAGGCGCCUAAAAACAACCUUAUGCAAAAGAGAAGCAACAUGAGACCGAUCAAGUAAAAGAAUCCACCGCAACACCUAAAUUGGCCAAAUUAUCUGUUGGUAUUACAAGUUUCUUGUUAUAAAAGUGUAGAAUGAAGAAGGUGACGUAGUUUUAAGUUACAGCUGCAUGCCCGAUCGCAAUAUCAAAUAAUGAUUAAAUAUCAAAUAAUACUUAAAAUAGUUGCCUAGACCCGCCACAAUUUAUAUUAACUCUUAAAUUUAUAAAUAAUUAAAUUUUUAAAAGUUCGGAUUUAUAUUAAAAAAUCUUCAUAUAAAUAAAUAAUAUAUGCACUUUUACAACACAGUCUUUAAAUUUAAAUUUUUCUAGAAAAAUCUUCUGUAUAUCUUUUCUAUUAAAAAAUUUCCAUAUAAAUAAAUAAUAUACCUAAUUUAAUUGGACCCAGCGCAACGCAUAUGCAUAGAACACAUUCCGAAAAGCCAUGAUAUUCGGAAAUUGACGAAUGAAAAGUGAGGAGGCAGCAGUCAAUGCUAUUUCGGCUUGGCCCAAAAUUGAUUUAUCAGUUUGACGUGUGCCAGGAAUGAAGAACUGGAAUAUCACCAUCAAGCAAGCAACCUGCGGAGCAAUACCAUAGAAUGCACAAUCCGGCUUUGCAAGGUGACACUGGAGGCUUUUUGAAAAGUGCUUCACGCUCACUUGACAGAUUGAGCAUCCCCUCUGGAUAUUGCCCUCUCUGAUCGAAUCUGAGCACUCAAAUUUCGGUCCUCAGAUGGAGCUACAGCUUUCUCUCCAAUAACCAACAAUUUUCUAAACUCAGCACCUAGUGUGAUCAGAGUUGUUGAUAUUUGUAAAUGGAGAUCCCCGUAUUUGCAAAUGGAGACAUUUACCAAAUCACCAACAUGCUUCAUCCAGUCUACGAAAUUCUGCAGCUGAUUCAAAUCCGGAACCUGAACAAGAGUCGGAGGUAAAUCUUGAGCCAUAUCUAAAGCAGUCUGAAGUUCAAGUACUUGAGCCCUUGACAAUGGUUUUGAAAUUGGAACAUCUUGGAUUACUGCAGACUUGUGCCCCUUGGUUUCAAAGGUAAGGAAAGGCAUUGCUUGAGUACAAUUUGGAGGCAGCUUCUUCACCAAUUUUAUUUGGAGGCGAUUGGCAGCGGAUCCAGCUGCACCAAUUUCAGAGCAAAUACUGACACUACUUCGAACAGCACACUGAAGAAGUGAUAUGUCUACGGCAAAGGCAAUGCAGUCCUCAUUUUGGCUUGAGAUGCAGUAAUCAUCGAAGAGAGUUUCCUUGUGAAACUGGGCAACACAUUGAAUCCCUUCGCCACUGAGAAGGUUGCGGAGGAAGUAAGCUUUCUCUCUAGUGAGGAAGAGGUGGCAUACCUUCCCCAUGUCUAGGGCAGGUAGGAAUCUUUUUUCUAAGAGAUUUACUUCAUUCUCUGUGAGAAAUGCUUUGAACUUCAUCCCUCUGUCUCUAUCCUCACUUAUCAGUAAAAUAGUUGAAAGUGCUACAAGGAGAGAAAAGAAGAGUAUUAAGAUAUAUAUAGACAAGAAAAACAUUAGAUGUCGAUCUUACAAGCUAAUACUUCAAACAGUAUCCUAGAAAGCUAAAAACUGCAAAAUGGCUUGACAUUUGAAAAGAACACAUGCUUUUCCUCCUUAACUUGAGAAAAUGUUUAAUAUAGUGCACCUUACAGAAACAUUUAAGCAAUUAGAACUUUGCACAAAAAUAUUCAAGAAGACUAAACAAAUCAGAUGCAGUGUAUUUCUCCAAGCACAAAUGGCAUUGCAUUUUUUCCUCAACUGUAAUAUUUAUUGAUGAAAAUCAGUACAGGUCCCUCAUUUGUUAUGGAAAGCUUUCUUGUAGUCUGACUGGUUAAUUCACGGAUCUAUAAUUAUCUUGCAAAGUUACAGGCAUUUCUUUCGAUUUAAAGUCUUUGCAUCACCACCUCAUCACACACCUAGCCAAUAUUCCGUCUACUUCUACAACAAAAAGUUUUAAGUAAACGAUCCUAAUGCAUGCAGCCAAAUAAAAUGCAGUAAGAAUAUUCAACUUAAAACUCUGAAAGCCAUCUUGGUGAAUUGCCUCCUUAGGGGAAGUUCCAUGAUUUACUAUACUUGACAGGACUGAGCAAAAGCUUACAUACAACAGAUUUUGAAAAUGAUGAUGCCAAUAGAUACUCAUACAAUCCAUUGAAACUCCUAAGGUCCAUUGUUCACAGAGGUUUACAGAGUUUUGGUUAUCAAAUAGCUCAGACCUUAAUCCCAAACAAAAAACGAGUGAAAAUUAGAUCACCAGCAGCAAAUUGUAAAUUCUAACUUAACUCUUCAUCUCCUUUGUAAACAGGAGACAAAAUGGAGACACGCAAAAUGAAUAAGGAGAACAUUUGAACUCAAAUGAAAUGAGGGCACGAAAGCAAACAAAUGGCAUGCGCAAACAAACCAAGCCUCAAUCAAAAACUAAUUAACCAUUAAAAAACAAAACUGGUCAGCUUCUGGUGUUCUCAAAUUGUAUAACAAGAGAUCGACACAUCGAAUCAGAAGAACUCAAUUCAAAUUUGUCUCAAAAAUCAAAAUUAGAAGAUUUCACAUUUCGAGAGGAACAAGCGACAGGUCAGAUGCAAAAUUUUCAGCCAUAACAUGCCACAAUUAACGGUUUAUUUCCAUGGAUUUAGAGAGCUGACUGACCUUUUGGCUUUUGGAAUUGAGAAGAUCGCGCGCCAAAAUGGAAGAGGGAAAGCGAAAGUGCGGGUUUUAAUAGGGUAUUGGAUUAGCAAAUUUUAUUAGUUUGCGAGGGUAAAAUAGGAAAGUGAUAUCACUAUUAACCUUUUUUUUAAUAAGAAAAAAGAAUAAUAAAGAAUAUUUUAUUGUCAUUUGCAGCAUUUAUUUUUUUUAAAUGCUAUUAGAAAAAUACGACAACAAAGAAAUGCUCUUUUUUUUUUUUUUUUUUUUCUCGAAGGUAAAAUCAAUUAUUUAGCUCCUUAUAUGUAAUCAAACUACAUUUCUUACUUUAAGUCAUAUCCAACGGACCAACAAAGUAAUUAUUUUUUUUUUCAUUCAUUUUUGCAGAAAAUUAAUAACUUAAAAAUAUUGAAAGCUAUUGUAAAAUUUUUUAUUAUCAACCUCAUAGUUUUAUUUUUUGGGAAGAAUUGAAUUUUUUUUUUUAAUUUCCAAGAAUUUCAUUCUCUAGUUUUUCCAUUAAUAUUACUUAUCUUGAUACCCAUCUUAAUUAAAAUCUGUAGUUUUAUUCAAGAGUCAUGCUAUUCAUUCACUCACAGACCAAAGGCUUUCCGCAGCAAUAUUAUUAUUUAAAUUACAACAAAGGGGAAAUCAAAUACGUCAUACAGAAGCUUAAAGCUGAAUCUACAAAAUCUAGAGCUCUCAACUACAUAAAUUACACUUGAUGAUCCUCUACAAGAUGAAGCUUGUUCAAUAUCUCAUCCAAAGCUUGUAAAGUAACAUUAUAACGAUCUUGAGAUUGCCUGCCUUCCUCGACGACCUGCACGAUGCGUUUGUACAAAUCAUCAUACCUGUGCACCGGAUUUUUAAUAUCAAUGCCACUGCAGCUGUGAUCAAGAACAUAAGAGCGUUUAACAUCUUUUCUCCAUCAAGAAAGAAUGUAGUGAGAUGGGAUCUCCUGCAUGCCACUCUGGUUUAGAACACAAAGAAUGUGUCUGCAUAAAUAUCCUCUGAAAUUGAACAACCCACAAACACAAAGCACCUCCAAGUCGGAGGCAUUGUACAAAACAUCGAAAAUAGUUAUGUUUUACAAUCUAUUAGACAUAUUUUAUUAAAUUAAUAUAAAUUUUCUAUAAAAUAAGAAUAUAAUAUUAAAAUAAAUUCACAAAAAAUUAAAGAAUUUUGAAUGUAAAAUAAUUUUAAUAGAUUAAUACGUGAGUUUUUUUAUUAAUAUAAAAAUUAUUUAACUUUAAGAUUUUUUAAAAUCUUUACAAUAAGUAUGACUAUAUUAUUUACAUUUAAAAAUAUUUAAAUAUUAUUAACCUACAAUUAUAUUUGCAUUUGUUAGAAUUUUUUAAGUCAAAUAUUUUGCACUUCUAUAUUAUUAGAAUUAUUGCACACAAAGAAAGAAACAUAUACCUUUAGAAAUUGUUUUCUUUUAAAAUAGAGAUGAUGAUUAGUAUAAGGAUGAAAAAAAUGAUAAAGAAUAUUAAUGAUUAACGAAAUCUCUAUACAAAUUGAUUUUAGUAGGAAAAGAGUGAGAUGAAUGAUUUCUUUUACGGUUAGAAACAUAGAUGAUGAUUAUUAUAACGAAGAAAAAAAGAUAAAGAAUAUUAAUUAUUAAUGGAAUCUCUAUGCAAAUUGAUUUUAGUAGGAAAAAAAAUGAGUUAAAUGAUUUAGAGUGCGUUUGGAAUUGAGAUUGGGCAGCCAUAGAUUUUAAGUUACAAUACUGAAGUGUUUGAUAAAUACUAGCUGCUGCAGAUUGAAAGUUAUAUUGAUAUGAUUUUUCACAUGUAUCAUAGAAAAUAUAUUACAUCUUUAAUAAUUUUUUUAAAAUUUAUAUUUGCUAUAUAUUAUUAAUUUUUUUUUAUAGUUAUAACUUUUUUUCCACAGCAGUUGUAGCUUAAAAGUCACAGCAUCUCAAUCUCAAACAAAUCCUUAGACAUUCAUAGUGUGUUUAUUUUUUGGAUUGGUGAAUCAAAAUUAUUGACAACGCUAACUUCAUCUUCAUUGUUCGCAAUCCAACAGCAGCAGCAAUUGUCACCAAUAAUGAUAUCUCCAAUGAUGAUGACAAUUAUUAUUAUUAUUAUUAUUAUUAUUAAUUUAUUAAUUAAUAUAUUAAUGUUAAUAAUAUUAUUAUUAAGAUUAACAAUAAUUAGUAGUAAUACAAUUUUUUGAAUAAAAAUAAUCACAAUAAUUAAAAUACAAAUUAAUAAUUAUGACAAUAGUUAAUUAAUGUCUUUUUAGUAAUUUGUAAUAAUCUAACUCAUUUUGAUUCUGAUUAUUACAGCUUAAGUAAACAAAUUAUUAUGAUUCCUAUUUUCCUUUCCUAUUUUAACUCACUUCGAUUCCAAUCUAUUCCAAUUUCUAUCUAAUAAAUGCACCAUUAGUGCUAAAGUAAUAUUUCAUACAUAGAAAAAUAAAAACUACACCUAAGGUUAAGGGAAAGGACUUCAAAACUCUCUUUUGAUCAUAAUACAUUUUGUCCUAAUUAACUUAAAGAUUUUGAAUCUAAUAUUUUAUAAUAAAUAAAAAUAUAUUCCUAAAAUAAAUAUAAUAUCAAUAUUUAAAAUAUGUUUUAAUAUUUUACAAUCUAUCAUACACAUUUUAUUAUAUUAAAGUAGAUUUUAUAAUAAAUACAAACGUACUAUUAAAAUUAAUAUAUAAAAAAUUUAGAAAAUUUAGAAUAUUAUAUAAAAUAAUUUUAAUAUAAUGCGUGAGAUAUAUUUUAUUAAUUUAAAAUUUUAUUUUACCUAAAAAUAUGAUAAAUUAAUAAUUACAUAUUUAAAGUUAUUUCAAAUAUUAAAAAAAUUUAAUAUUAUUAGUUUUUUAGAUAGAUUAAAUUAUUUUUAUAAGAGAUAGAUUAAAUUAUUUUAAAAUACCUUAAUUGUUUUUACUUUUAACGUUACCGGCCUUUCUUUUAUUUUAUUGUAAAUUAAUGCUAACAAGAAAAAGCUAGAUCAUAUUCCACAAAAGCAAAAGUGACAAACACAAUCAGCUGGAAUCUUUUAUAAAACUACAAAUUAAAAUGGUUUUUUUUUUUUUUUGAUAAAUUACAUAUAAAAGUGGAUUCUUUUGAAUAUAAGUGGGGUAGGCUCUUUUAUUUUUUUUUAAUACUGUAUAACAAGAUUGUAGACUCCUUGAUUAAGCACAAGUAUAAAGUAGUCGAGACGAUACUUUAUGCUAGGUGUCCAUUGAAUAUUAGAUCUUCAUUUCUUUGGCCAUUUAAUUUUUUCGAGAAAUUUUUCUUACGAUCCCGGCUAAGCUUGAAGAAAAGACAACUCAACGGUUUUUUUAAAACAAGUUUCCGUUUUGGUUGGUGAAAUGAAAACGAAAUAAAGCACUUCCAUCCAAAAAUCAUUCUUCUGGAGAAAGGGAUGACAGAUUAAAGAAAAGGGGUGUACUGAAAGGAGAAAAAAGGUUCUUGCAUGAGAGCUGGACACGUUAAAAGAAGUUGAACAAAUGUCUCAAAAAGAAGCUAUUUCGCUUUCAUACUAAAGCCUAUUUGUAAUAGCAUCAGCAAUGCUCCACUAUCCACAUUCUUGUGCGGAUAUCAUUGCAAUCUACUAAUGGUAUAUAAACAUGCAUGUUGUCCCAUGAUGAUUAAGUUAACACACACUUGGAGGUACUUAAAUUAUGCCAUAAAGAGAUAUAGUUAUUACGCAUACAAAUGUUAUUCAAUGGUUAAAAUGUAUGAUAAAGAAAUCGCUUGAAUUUUUUAUUUGCCGUUACGUAAUUUUUUUAUUGAUUCCGAGUUUGAAUCUUAAAAGAAAUAAAGGGUUAGAAAAUUAAUUUGAACUUUGUCCACUCUUUAACUUAAUGAGUAUAAAAACAGAAAAUGCAGGUAAUUUAAUUUUGACAUCUAACAUUUAAGAGAUAGAGCUUGAAAGAGUCCAAUAUUAAAUUAUAAAAUAAUUGAAAUAAAGUUUGCCCCAUAAGAAAAAUUGAACAAAAAAUCUUAAGUAUGAUAUGAUGCUAGAGAAAUUAUUUAUCUCAAAACUUUUAUUAGGUAAUUAAGUCCUAAGAAUAUGUAAUUACACAUGUAACAAAAAUUAGAGAUGAGGGUCUUUUAUUAAACUACAAAUUGUAUAGUCUUUUUAAAAUUGUUAUAAAUUGGUGGCCCCUACAAUCCUCAAUAAUUGUGCCGAUAUUCACAAGUUGGUGGCCCCUACAAUUAUCAACUGUGCAAGUGCUCAUUCACAAUCUUCCAGGUCAUGCUCUUAAUAAUUGUUUUUUUUUUCUGCAUUCCCUUUCAUGCUCUUAAUAAUUGAAGAGCAUACUUUUCAAAUAUGGAGCCGCAGCUAAUGUCGCUAAUUUAAUUUGGGAUUAAAUUAGGGGACCAUUAUGUUGCAGUGUGCACUAAUUUUUGUGUUUAUCUAAACUCCUUAAAUUUAAGACAUAUUACGGCAUAAAUAAGAAUAUAACAAUAACAAAAGAGUUAAAAAGUGUAGAGAAGAUCUUGCAGAAAUAUAAAUAAUAUCUAUUUUAAAAUAAUAUCAAUAUUUAAAAUAAUUUUUAAUAUUUUAUGAUCCAUUAGAUAUAUUUUAUUAUAUUAAAGUAAAUUUUAUAAUAAAUAAAACAUACUAAAUUUAGAGUAUUUUAAGUAUUAUAUAAAAUAAUUUUAAUAAAAUAUGUGAGAUAUUCAUAUUUUAUUAAUUUAAAAUACCAUUUAACCUAAAGAUUUAUUUAUGAUAAAUUAAUAAUUAUAUUUUUGAAAUUACUUCAAAUAUUAAAAAAAUUAAUAUUACUAAUCUAUUAGAUAGAUUAAAUUAUAUAUAUUAUUUUCUAUUUAUUAAAAAAUUUUAAAAUUAUUUUUAAUUACUAUUCAAAAAAUAUAAUGAUAAAAAAAAAUCUUAACAUCUUUAUUAAAAAUUUAAAAAUUUUCAUGAUCAAUUCUCUAAAUAUUUAGGGUAUAUGUGAACCACGGUGGAGAAGCUUUAUUUAAUAUUAUUGAUUUAAAUAAUAUGUGACAAAACAACUAGGUGGACUACAAAUUAAAGUGGAUUCUUUUGAAUACAAGUGGGACAGACGAUUAGGCUCUUUUUAAUUUUUAUUAAAGGCAAGUAAAAAGUAGUCGAAUAGUCUUUUUCAAAUUCUUGUUUUAUUGUUUUUCAAAACUAACAAGAAAAAGCGAGAUCAUAUUCCACCCCAAAAGCAAAAGUGACAAAACAACCAGCUGUAUUCUUUUAUUAAACUACAAAUUAAAAUGGAUUCUUUUGAAUACAAGUAGGACAGACGAUUAGGCUCUUUUUAUUAAACGCAAGUAAAAAGUAGUCGAAUAGUCUUUUUCAAAUUCUUGUUUUAUUAUUUUUCAAAAUUAGUUUUUGGUAAUUACUGUUUUUCCUUCAAAAGUUAGCGGUUCAUGUUUGCAAGUGUGAAUGUGCGAUGCUCUUUUCUUAAAGGCAAUUACAGUGGGGCCCGAAUGCCUAAAUCUUUUUAAAAUUUUUGCCGUAUAACGAACAGAGGUCAUUACUAAAAUUUCUCUUCCACAGCCUACAGCAGCUUCAGUUUAUCAAACUCAAUCAAUUUUCUUUCUUAACAAAAUUCCAAAGAUGUGUAGCAUUUUUCAGAUCGCAUGCGAUGGUGCUCUUUUCAAUCGUUGCUUGGAUUGCUUUCUUGGAAAAGCAGCAUACCUUCGUAACCUCCCAGAUAAUCUUGUAGACUUGGAGACUGAACUGGGAAGACUAAUCGCAGCAAAGAACGAUGUGAUGAUGAGGGUUGUCAAUGCUGAACGGCAACAAAUGAGAAGGCUGGGCCAAGUGGAAUGGUGGGUUUCGAGGGUGGAUGCUGUUAAAACUGGAGCCGAUGAACUUAUCACAGACGGCUCUGAAGAAAUUGGCGAAUUAUGUGUUGGAGGCUACUGUUCCAAGAACUGCAGGUCAAGCUACAAGUUCGGAAAACAAGUGGCUAAAAAGCUACAAGAUGUGAAGGCUUUAAUCGCCGAGGGAGUUUUUGAGGCGGUGGCUACUGAGGUGGUGCCCGAGAGAGCUCCGGAACCUGUAGCAGAUGAAAGACCCAUUGAGCGAACAGUAGUAGGCUUGCAAUCACAACUUGAACAAGUCUGGAGAUGUCUUGUAGAAGAAUCAGUGGGAAUCAUUGGCCUAUAUGGUAUGGGCGGUGUUGGUAAAACCACACUGUUGACCCAUAUCAACAAUAAAUUUCUUGAGAGUCCCACCAACUUUGAUUGUGUGAUUUGGGUCGUAGUUUCAAAAGACCUGCGACUUGAAAAAAUUCAAGACGAUAUUGGGAAGAAGAUAGGUCUGUCUGAUGAUUCAUGGAAGAAUAAAAGUUUUGAGGAGAAAGCUGUAGACAUCCUGCGGAGUUUAGGAGAGAAGAGAUUUGUAUUGUUGUUAGAUGAUUUAUGGGAGCGGGUUGAUUUAACAAAAGUGGGCGUUCCACUUCCCGGACCACAAAAUACUACCUCAAAAGUCGUAUUCGCAACCCGUUUCAUCGAUGUUUGUGGUAGCAUGGAAGCUGACAGGAAGUUCCUAGUGGCGUGCUUAUCAGAAAAGGAUGCUUGGGAACUGUUUCGAGAAAAAGUUGGGGAAGAAACUCUUCAGAGUCAUCAUGAUAUCGUUGAGCUAGCCCAAAUUGUGGCCAAAGAGUGUGGUGGUUUGCCACUCGCACUUAUUACUAUUGGUCGAGCUAUGGCCUGCAAAAGGACAGCCGAGGAGUGGAUACACGCAGUUGAAGUGCUAAGAAGAUCAGCUUUUGAGUUUGCAGGUUUGGGAAAAGAGGUGUAUCCUCUUUUAAAGUUUAGCUAUGAUAGUUUGCAGAAUGAGACGAUUAGAUCUUGUUUCUUAUAUUGUUGUUUAUAUCCCGAAGAUUAUGGAAUUCUUAAAUGGGACUUGAUUGAUUGUUGGAUUGGUGAGGGAUUCUUAGAGGAAUCUGACAGGUUUAGUGCAGAAAACCAAGGUUACUACAUUGUGGGCACUCUUAUUCAUGCGUGUUUACUAGAAGGGAUAGAAGAUGAUAGAGUAAAAAUGCAUGACGUUGUUCGUGAUAUGGCUCUAUGGAUAGCUUGUGAAAUUGAGGAGAGGAGACACUUUUUGGUUUGUGCAGGCGCUGGAUUAGAACAGGCACCGGCUGUUAGAGAAUCGGAAAAUGUGACAAGAUUGUCAUUGAUGCAAAACCAAAUUAAAAUUCUGUCGGAGGUUCCCACAUGCCCUGAUCUCCUCACUUUAUUUCUUGACUUUAAUGAGGAGUUGGAGAUGAUCGCGGAUGGCUUCUUCCAAUUUAUGCCUUCUCUCAAAGUUUUGAAGAUUUCAAACUGCGGGAAUUUUACUUUUCAAUUACCUUUGGGGAUGUCAAAGUUGGGUUCACUAGAACUUUUUGAUAUUUCACGCACCGAAAUACAAGAGUUACCAGAAGAGUUAAAGUUGUUGGUAAAUCUGAAAUGUUUGAAUUUGAGGUGGACAAGCAAGUUAAUUAGAAUUCCACGGCAACUAAUAUCAAAUUCUUCAGGGUUACGUGUGUUGAGAAUGUUCGCUACUGGCUAUGAAUGUUUUCAUGAAGCACCAGAAGACAGCGUUUUAUUUGGUGGGGGUGAAGUUUUAGUACAGGAAUUGCUCGGUUUGAAAUAUUUAGAGGUAUUGGAGUUGACCUUGGGAAGUUAUCAGGCUCUCCAAAUCUUUUUGAGCUCAAAUAAGUUAAAAAGUUGUAUUCGAUCUCUUUUCCUCCAGUUGGCCGGAGAUACAAAGUCGAUUAUUGAUGCUGCGGCUUUCGCAGAUCUAAACCACCUCAAUGAAUUAUAUAUUUAUGAAGGUAUUGAGUUGGAAGAAUUGAAGAUUGAUUAUACAGAGAUAGUACGAAAAAGGCGGGAACCUUUUGUUUUCCGCAGCCUUCACCGUGUUACCAUAUUUAGUUGCGGUAAAUUGAAAGAUGUGACAUUCCUCGUUUUUGCUCCAAACCUCAAGUCUCUUGAGCUAUUGCAAUGCGAUGCUAUGGAAGAAAUAAUCAGCGUCGGAGAAAUUGCUGAGACUCCUGAGAUGAUGGGACACAUAAGCCCUUUUGAAAAUCUCCAAAGUCUUCAUUUAUCGUAUUUACCAAUUUUGAGGAGCAUCUACUGGAAGCCAUUGCCUUUCACUCAUCUCAAAAAAAUGGAGGUACGUAGAUGCGAUCAGCUUAGAAGGCUUCCGCUCGAUUCCAACAGUGCAACAGAGCGUAAUGUUGUUAUUCGUGGAUACACACUCUGGUGGAACCGACUUCAAUGGGAGGAUGAAGCCACUCAAAUUGCUUUUCGUUCCUGUUUCCAACCUCGUUCCUGAGCAGUGGUCGCAAAAUUUGAUUUCUGGUGAGUGCGUUUGUCUUUUAAAAAGAAGAAUUUAAAAGAAAUUUAUUCUUGUCGUUUUCUUCACUGUUUUUAUUUGAUUUCUGGUUAGUUUCUUUCUCUCUCUCUCUCUCUUUGUCUUCUGCAAAUCACAAUUAAAUGUUGAAUUAAUGGAAUUGAUGCUCUGGUUUUUUACUUUUUGUUGUCAAAUUUUGCCCUGUUCUAUCUUCUUAGCGAUUUAAUUUCCUGUCAAAAGACGAGCGAGAAGAACAUAUAUAUGACUUAAACCAAUUGAUACUUUAUUUAUGUGCAUUGUAUGUAAUAAAUAUUAAGUAUACUUUAUUUUUGCCCUGUUCUCUGUUUUUAUUUCAGUCUCUCUCUCUCUUUCCUGUCUUCUGCAAAAUAUAAUCAAUUAUUUUCAAAAUAUCAUUGAUGAUUUUUCUGCUCUAAUGCUAUGUAAAUAGUAUGUUAAGUAAAACAUAAUCAAUUAUUUGUGUUUUAUCUCUAAUUAGAACAUCAAUCAGUUCAGUACCUCACAAAUAAUUCGCAAUAUCUACAAAAUACUAUAAUGGCUACAAAACAAAUCCUGCUUGCAAAUUGUCAAGGAUACCUAUCCGUUCGCUUGACAAGUCAUUUGAAUAAAUAUUGUUCACAUUCCUUACUCUAUCAAUUAUCCAAAGCACCAUCAAUGGUCCUCAACUUUAGUUUGAAUAGUAUACAUGCCAUCACCAUUACCAAGAAUCAAGCAUGGAAGAGUCAUUCUAUAGAGUUAAUCGAAGCAAGGAAUGAUGUAUCAGAAAAUAUUUGGUGGAGAAUUCAGCACAAACAUAUUUUGGAUGAUCAGAAUCAAUAAAACCUGGUGGUUGCGCCAUAUAAACAUCUUCGGAAAGCUGACCUUGAAGAAAGGCGUUAUUGAUAUCCAAUUGACGAAGAGGCCAGCCAUGACUAACAUCAAUACUAAGAACAAGCCGUACUGUGGUGGACUUAACAACUGGACUGAAAGUGUCAUAAUAGUCCACACCAGGCCAUUGAUUGAACCCUUUGGCAACAAGAUGAGCUUUAAACCUGUCAACAGAACCGUUGGAAUGUCUUUUAAUACAAAAAUCCAUUUGCAGCCAACAAUAUUGGAAGGGAUGGGAGGUGGAACAAGCUUCCAUGUCCCGUUACGAACAAGAGCAUCAUACUCUUCUGACAUAGCUGGACGCCAGUGAAGAUUUUUGAUAGCUUGCGUCACAGUUGUAGGUUCACAAUCAGAAGAAGGGCUAAAAUGAGCACGGAGGUUAAGUUUUUGUAACGGCUUGUGAAUCUUAUUUUUAGCUCGGGUAGUCAUAUCAUGAUGACUUGUGGGGCAAUGAUCUAGUGGAGUUUAGGAAGAUGAUUGAACAGGAAGUGAAGAAGUGCUUUGUGUAGAGGUAGAAGUAGGUUGGGAGGAUUGCUGCGGAGAUGUUACCGGUAGAGAAGAAGGAGCAGUACACGGUGGCAACUCCAGAGGGCCCACAAUAGAUGGAGUAGGUGCCGACAAUGGAGUACUAGGAAAUGAAACAGGAAGAAUUGGUGGAACACUUGCGUAAUUAGGAGUGGUAGAUGAGCUUGUAAUGAUUUGUAUGGAAAAACAAACUCUACAAAUUUAACGUGACGUGAAAUAAAAAUUCAACCCGAUUGCAUAUUUAAGAACAUCUCAAAUGAAUUGCUUACUGCUAUCAUCAUCAUUAUUGUCUAUAUAAUAAUGGAUCUUUAUUAUAUAUAUGUUUCCACUAAAAUAUAUUUAAUUAUUCUUUAUUUUUCUAUUGUUGCGUGUAAGAUUUAUUUGAGUUCUAAGUUAUAUCAAUACAAAUGUUAUCUUAUCCAUAAAAAGUUAGAUCCAACAAUUAUGAAAAUUACUAUAGAGUUGCUUUCAAUUAUUUUUUUAAAAUACCAGGAGUAAAUAAUAAUUAGUUCAAAUGGUGGAGACUAAAAUGCGUUCACCUUUAUUUUUUAUCUGUUAUUUACUUUUGUCAUUACAUUAAUGCACAUGCUAUACAUUUGAGACAUUCCAUUAAUUGCCAAUUAUGUAUGUGAGAUAGUAAUUUAAAUUAAAAAAUAAAAGUGAAAGUUAAUCCUAUGCAAUGUGAAUAAAUUUCUUUCCUUUUUCCUUUACUCUUUUUAUUUGACAAUAAAGUUUCCAUCUAUCAUCUAUCAUCUAUGUACACAAAAUUUCUGCAACAAGUACAAAACAUAAAAAUAUAUGAAUAUUAAGGGAAACACGCAGAAGUUCAUCAUUUCAAUGUUCAGUAUUACCAAUUUUGGCAUUAAGCUUGUACGAAUAUAUUCUACUUCGAAAGCAAAAUAUUAGACUCGUGAUUUUAAUUCAUUCAUUAUCUCUCAUUUUAAUCCCAAAAUAUUCAAGAGUAUCCAAGUUACCAUAAGACUUCAGAGGCUCGAGCCUUAGCCAGAGAUGGUUAAUUGAUAGACUAUGUGCCUGGGUCGAGCACUGGAAGCCUGCAAUGCAGACUGAUUGAUUUAUCAGUUUAACGUGUGCCAGGAAUGAAGAACUGGAAUAUCACCGUCAAGCAAGCACCCUGUGGAGCAAUACCAAAGAAUGCACAAUCUGGCUUUGCUAGGUGACCCUGGAGGCUUUUUGAAAAGUGCUUCAUGCUCACUUGCACAGAUUGAGCAUCCCCUCUGGAUAUUGCCCUCUCUGAUCGAGUCUGAGCACUCAAAUUUCGGUCCUCAGAUGGAGCUACAGCUUUCUCUCCAAUAACCAACAAUUUUCUAAACUCAGCACCUAGUGUGAUCAGAGUUGUUGAUAUUUGCAAAUGGAGAUCCCCAUAUUUGCAAAUGGAGACAUUUAACAAAUCACCAACAUGCUUCAUCCGGUCCACGAAAUUCUGCAACUGAUUCAAAUCUGGAACCUGAACCAGAGUCGGAGGUAUAUCUUGAGCCAUAUCUAAAGCAGUUUGAAGUUCAAGACCUUGAGCCCUUGACAAUGGUUUUGAAAUUGGAACAUCUUGGAUUACUGCAGACUUGUACCCCUUGGUUUCAAAGGUAAGGAAAGGCAUUGCUUGAGUACAAUUUGGAGGCAGCUUCUUCACCAAUUUUAUUUGGAGGCAAUUGGCAGCGGAUCCAGCUGCACCAAUUUCAGAGCAACUACUGACACUACUUCGAACAGCACACUGACGAAGUGAUAUGUCUACGGCAAAGGCAAUGCAGUCCUCAUUUUGGCUUGAGAUGCAGUAAUCAUCGAAGAGAGUUUCCUUGUGAAACUGGGCAACACAUUGAAUCCCUUCGCCACUGAGAAGGUUGUGGAGGAAGUAAGCUGUCUCUCUAGUGAGGAAGAGGUGGCAUACCUUCCCCAUUUUGUCUAGGGCAGGUAGGAAUCUUUUUUCUAAGAGAUUUACUUCAUUCUCUGUGAGAAAUGCUUUGAACUUCAUCCCUCUGUCUCUAUCCUCACUUAUCAGGAAAUAAGUUGAAAGCACUAUGAAGAGAGAGAGAGAGAGAGAGAGAAUUAAGAUAUAUAGACAAGAAAAUAAUUAGACGUUGAUCUUACAAACUAAUACUUCAAGCAGUAUCCUAGAAAGCUAAAAACUGCAAGAUGGCUUGAAAUUUGAAAAGAGCACAUGGUUUUCCUCCUUAACUUGAGAAAAUGUUUAAUAUAGUGCACCUUACAGAAGCAUUUAAGCAAUUAGAACUUUGCACAAAAACAUCAAGAAGACUAAACAAAUCAGAUGCAGUGUAUUUGUCCAAGCACAAAUUGCAUUUUGUCCUCAACUUUAAUAUUUAUUGAUGAGAAUCAAUACAGGUCCCUCAUUUGUUAUAGAAAGCUUUCUUGUAGUCUCACCAGUUAAUUCACAGGUCUAUAAUCAUCUUGCAAAGUUAAGGGCAUUUCUUUCGAUCUAAAGUCUUUGCAUCACCACCUCAUCACACGCCAAGCCAAUAUUCCAUUUACCUCUACAACAAAAAGUUUUUAAGUAAAUAAUCCUAAUGCACGCAGCCGAAUAAAAUGCAGUAAGAAUAUUCAACUUAAAAAUCUGAAAGCCAACUUGGUGAAUUGCCUCCUUAGGUGAAGUUCCAUGCUUUACUAUAGUUGACAGAACUCAGCAAAAGCUUCCAUACAACAGAUUUUGAAAAUGAUGAUGCCAAUAGAUACUCAUUCAAUCCAUUGAAACUCCAAAGGUUCAUUGUUCAUAGAAGUUUACAGAGUUUUGGUCAUCAAAUAGCUCAGACCUAAUCCCAAACAAAAAACGAGUGAAAAUUAGAUCACGAGCAGCUAAUUGUAAAUUCUAACUUAACUCUUCAUCUCCUUUGUAAACAAGAAACAAAAUGGAGACACGCAAAAUGAAUAUGGAGAAAAUUUGAACUCAAAUGAAAUGAGGGCACGAAAGCAAACAAAUGGCAUGCACAAAAAAACCAAGCCUCGAUAAAAAACUAAUUAACCAUUAAGAAAAAAAUUGGUCAGAGAAUGAACUCCAAAUUCAGGAGUCAAGCAAGAAGCUUUCAUUAUUUCAGAAGCUCCUGUACAAAUUAAUAAGUUAUGCUCUUUGGAAGCAAACCUAAAUUCCAAGAGAAACAGAACCCAAAAAAUUUGCAAUUAUACGCAAAGGAAGUGAAGCACAGGAUUCUAUCACACAUAGGAAUUGUAUAACAAGAGAUCGAUAUAUCGAAUUAGAAAACUCAAUUCGAAUUUGUGUCAAAAAUCAAAAUUAGAAGAUUUCACAUUUCGAGAGGAACAAGCAACAGAUGAAGUUCAAAAUUUCAGCCAUAACAUGCUAAAAAUGCUACACUUAACGGUUCAUUUUCAUGGAUUUUCUCGGGAAACAAACAGAAAAUUACGGUUUAGAGAGUUGACUGACCUUUUGGCUUUUGAAAUUGACCAGAUCGCGCGCCAAAUUGGAAGAGGGAAAGUGAAAGCGCGAGUUUUAAUAUGGGUAUUAGAUAAGGAAAUUUUAUUAGGUUGCGAGGGUAAAAAAGGAAAGAGAUAUCAUUAUUUUAUUAUCGAUAAUUAUUAAAUUUUUUUCCAAAAAAAAGAACAAGCAAGGAUUUUUUAUUGUCAUCACUAAGUUAAAAAAAAUUGUUUCAAAAUUACUUGAGUCAUAUCCAAUGGACCAACAAAGUAAUCGUUUUUAUUUUUAUUGAUUUUUGCAGGAAAUUAAUAACUUAAAAAUACUGAAAGCUACUGUAAAAAUUUUUAUUAUCAACCUCAUAAUUUUUUUUUUUUGGGGAAGAGAAUUCAAACUUUUUUUUUAUGAAUAUCGCUGUUUCGUUUGAGUUGGAUGUGAAUUCAAAUCCAAAUAUUCUUUGUUUUUCAAUUUUGAACUCAAUUUCUUUUUCUCAAGAAUGUUAUGCAGAAAUAAUUUUUACUAAAUCUUUUUUGAUGAAUUGUUUAAAUUAAACAAUUGGAAUAAGAAUUGUAACGAUUUAUCAUAAGCGUGCUAAUAUGAUAACUUGUUUUACGAAGGAUUAAUUAAUCAAUUAAUAUUAAAUUAUAUAUUAGUCAAUUAGAUAUGUGUUACAUUUAUCAUGUUUUGUAGGUGAUAGUACAUCAUUUCUAAAAGAAUAUAGUACGUUAAAAUAUUAUUUUAAUGAAGAAAAUUUUAUUAUUUUAUUAUUAGGUGACACAAUAAUAAAUGGAUUUCUGUAAGAAUUGAGAUUCUUGAUAUAAUUAUUACAUAAGGAGAAGUUUAGUUGGUUCAAUUUUGACGUGAUAAGAAGACAACACAGCACAGAAAACCCAAAUUGCCACUUCCACUAAUAAAAGAUACCUGUUUGAAAAGUAAUUAUAAACUAUCUUCUUUGUGUUAUUUCUCAAAACUUUUGUGGCACAAAUGUUAUUUCCAUUGACAACAGUACGAAAUACCACCCCUUUCACUUGAGCAGGAGCAAAGCAAAGGUAUGAUGAGCUAUCUCUGUAUAAUUGAAACGCCAUUACUAAACGAUUCUUGAUGAUGGGAGCCACCGUGCCAGCUUUGUCGCUGAUUUGCAUGAUUUAUUAGUUGUCCAGAUGGCGGAUUUUGUACUGUUACCUUCGUUUCAUUCUUCAGAGCCAUGUACUGUUCUAGGAUACCAGAGAAACCAAGGUGGCAUUGAAGUUGCCCUGGUGGUUAGUUUUCCGAUCAUUUUUUUAUUCAAUUAUUUAUGUUUUUAGAAAAAUGUAGGAAAUAUGUAGAAAUGUUGACAGCUAUGAUUUUGAAACUUUUGCCUAAAAUUGUUAUCAUUACUUGUUGUUUCUUAUUUAAAGAGAAAUUCUAGAAACAUGAAAUGAUUAUUCUACGCUUGUUUUAAUAUUGUGCUAUGAAGAUUACGAAGGUUUGAUUAUAUGUCACUAUCAAUUGCCUUAAUCGUUUGUCGUAAAUCAAUUAAGCAUUUUGAUGCGAAUGAUUCCCUAUUAAAAAAUUCAAGUCAGAGCUGAAUUGCAAAGUAGUUAGUCGUGCUUGCAAUUCAAAUUAAGUAUUGUAUUUUCUCCCUGAUUUGGUUGAUUCAACUAUGUGCAUUUGCUUAUGAACGUUGCAGUAUAGAAAUCGAAAUAUCUUGUCUUUUGCUAAGCCCAGAAGCAAAUUCUUUGUAUUCUACUCAUCAGUUUUCUUCAUUCUCUUUGUUGAAAUUUUAUCUAAACAGCGGUUUCUUCGAAUUUAUGCCUUCGCUUACUCUUUUAAAUUUUAUCCAAACAACGGUUUUGAAAUUGUUUUCACUACAAUACCUUAGUCUUUCAGAUGCUCCCGUCACUGAGUUGCCAGAAGAGCUAAAAGCCUUGGUAAAUCUUAAGUGUUUGAACCGGAGUACACAAAUUAUCUCUCUACAUUUCCAAAGCAAUUGAUUUGUUACUUUUCGAUGCUACAUGUUCCGCGAAUAUUCAGUUGUGGUUAUCUUGUUCAGAUACCAGAAAAUAGCGUUAUAUUUAGUGGUAAUGAAUUCUUGGUUUGGGAGUUGCUUAGUUUAAAACGUUUAAAUGUAUUAAGCAUCAUCUUGAAAAGUUUUUCUGCUGUCCAAAAACUUAUGAGCUUCCAAAAGUUUCAAAGCUGUACACAAUGCAUGGAGCUUGUAGACUGUGAUGAUCCAAAGUCAUUUGCCGUGGCAGAGUUGAAGCAUCUUGAAAAACUAGGUUUUUCAAGUUGUGGAAAUUUGGAAGAGUUAAAGUUCUGCUGUGUCGAAGUUGCAAAGGCUCGAGAAUGUUUUCGUUUGAACAGCCCUCACUGAGUUAAGAUGAAGGCUUGUCAUAAAUUGUGGGAAGCGACAGGUUAUUCAAAUAGAAAAAUUUAUGGAGAUGGAUGUUAAUCUUAAGGUUAUUCAAUUAGAAAAAUUUGAAUAAAAUUUAUGGUAAGUGCUUUUCCAUUUAUUGCAUAUUUAUAUCUAAUUUUUAUUUUCCUUUAUUGUUAAAUUUUGGUCUCUAUUUGUUGUUGUAUGGUGGCAUUCUUGUACAAUUAUUAGCUUUUCAUUUCUCUUCUCACAUUAACUGCCCUUCUGAUCAUGUAGGAUUUGCUGAUGCAAAGAGUCAUAAUUUGGGAUACAAAUGUAAGAAUUAGACAGAUGACAUGUUGUUUUGAAGCUCUCAAAGAAGGACUAAUUAUGUCAUUGAAAGCCUCCAAUUUUGUGAUUGGUUUCUUUUUAUUUUAUUUGUUGUUUUCUCUAUUUUCAGAUCACUUAAUUGUUAGUUGUUGUAAUGUAAUGUUUUAGUAUAGCAAAUUAUAUUCGGCCAAGACAGUGAUAGGAGGGCACAUUGUGCAUGCACACUAGUGGAUUUGGCAUGCCAAAUCCAAUUAGGAUGGAUAACACUUUAUAAGCAUUAGGCUUCUCUCAUACCUGAGUAAUAUAGAAUAUGUUUAUAAGUUGUGAAUCACCCUUUACAAGUGUUAGGCUUCUGCUAUACUCAGUGAUGUGAAAUAUAUUUAUAAGCACUAAACUUCUCCCAUACACUUUAUGUUAAUAAUAAUAAUAAUAAUAAUAAUAAUAAUAAUAAAAUAAUAAUAAAUAAACCCAUUUUAACAGACUCUUUUUUCUUUUUCUAUAUGAACAAAUGCAUUCUUCAAAGCAACUGUGGGGAGAAGAAGUGAGUAGAGAAGAACUGAGCCCCUGUCAUUCCCCUAAAACCUCACCAAAACCUCUCUUGUAAGCUUCUCGGAUUUUCUUUCUAUAUUUCUUAGGAACUCAUUUUUUAUUGAAUCACUUAUUUUGCAUGCUGCAUUUUUUGGUUGUCGUAUUUGUGUAUUAUCUUAUCUGGAAUGCUGUUAUGAUUGAUGGAACAAGUAAUCGAUUUUUGGUCUAAUGGAAGUUGAUUUAUUUAUUUAUUGUUGUUUUUAUUUGAAAUUAUGUACAAUUGUAUUUCAUUCAUUUCUCUCUCUUUUGCUUUUUUCCCCCCAUAUAUUUGUUAUGUAUAAUUGCGUUUCAUUUAAUAUUGAUCAUACUGUAGGUAACCAUGUGAUUGUAGAUGGGGAUUUCGAGUUUGUUGAAUAUUCAUGUAAGUGAAGUAACCGUCACAAUACUAGUGAAAUUGGGAGCUUUAUUCAUGAGUUUGUGGUUUUGAAAAGUACCACAGUUCAACUGGUGAAGGCUCCGUUUUGGGAUUCUUCUUUUUCUAGGCUGCAAUUAGGAUAUGUACAUGAUAGACAAUCUUUUGUUGGUUUAGCAUAUCUUCGCUGAUUUUGUCUUUUAUUCCCCAAUUUUAUAAUUACACACCAUGAAUGUUGGGUGAUUGUAUAGAAAAUUUGUGUUAUAACAAAAACAUUGUGAAGGAGUUUCCGUGCUAAUAGUUAGUGGCUUCUGUUUUAUUGGCAUUGAUUGGGUAGAUUACGUGUUACAGUGAUUCAAUUUGUGUUCCAAACUUUGCUUUAAUUUUCUGUUUUCCCCAACUAUUUAUGUCAAAUUUAAAUCCAGAAGCAUGUGCUGAUUUUUUCUUUUUGUAUUAAUCUGUGAAGUUUAUUUGGAAUGGAAGUAACUGGGUCGGGUCUAAUGGAUUAAAUUAUGACAUUGAGGGGAAGGCACUAAAAGGGUUUGCUUGACACAUUUGGUUCUGUGUUUACUCUGCAAGAAAUAACUUUUGCUUAUUGCAAUGCAGGGGGAAAUCCCGAUUUGGCUGGUGAAUUUCUCUGCAACAAACAGGCAAACACCUCAACAUCUUCUGUCCAUACUUCUGCUGGGGAGGCAAGGGGUAAAGAGUCUUCAAAAUCAUCAAAUAGUUACAUCUCUGAGAAUUCAUUUUAUGGAAAUGGAAAAUCUAGAGUUUCUAAUACAAAAUGGCAUCUGGUAUCAGGACGUACCGUUUCAAGUUUUCUUGGUAAAGAUUAUGUUAAACCUGCACAGCCAGCUAAUGGCACUUUUCUGGCAUCAAAGCCAUUGAAGUUGGAUCCAAGGGAGUUUCGCAUUUCUGCACUUUCAGAGAAGAAACUAAACCGACAAUCAAAGGAUGACCAUUUGCAGAAGGAUAUGGAAGAUUUUCUUUUUAAAUUGCUAGGAGAAGGGUUCCAGCUGUACAGGGAUGUGAUUCAGG
rnacentral:lncRNA from 1 species